UGCUGAUUAAGCUUAAGUGCAUAAACAUGACCGGUUCUGUUGUUGCACCGAACUCCUGUCCAAUUGCAGCAAUCACCACCAGUCCCCCAUGAAGAAAGGUGAUCGUUCUCAUCCACGAGGUUAUCUCUCAACUUAAGUAGUGCUUGUUUCUCCCUUUCCAUGCACAUGACUUUAACGCCUACCAAACUGGAAUUGGUUUUGUAUGCAUUUGUCGUCAUGAUACACACAGUGAGCCAAGAAAGAAAGACAAGAAAUGUAAGGUGUGUCCCAGCCAUAGUUUGAUUGAUCAGUGAGUGUUCUGAAUCAAGAUGAAAGAUCAAACUACCUCAUUGAGCUUAAUUAAGUAGUAAAUGCUUUAGCUUGUGGAAAACUGUUACUAGUCAAUAGUCGUCGCUACUGCUUGUCAAAGUCGUGCACUUCCUCGUCAAGAUCAUUUAUGGUGCUACUUCUUGGAUAUUGCGCGUUCUUAGUUUCUUGUUAAUACUGGUCAAACACGGAUAUGUGUUUCCACGUGAAGAUUACUUAAUCAAUUUGUCCACGCGGUUUCUAUAACCACUCUAUAAAUCUUUAUUUCCCAACAUAUUUUCCAACAAUUUUCUUCAUCAUUUUCAUGAAAAAAACAUACACUAUCAAAUGAAAAAUAUCUUCAAAGCGACUCGGAAAAAGAUCUAAAACACAAAUUCAUGUUAUAACCCACGAAUAAGAGCCUAAAUAAAUACUACAUAUAUGGAGCAAAAUAAGAGACUAAAGAAAACUUAAAAUAAUAAAUAUUGUUAAGCAAAGUUUUUUUUAAAAACAAGAUAUAAACUCUUGAAAUUAAUUUUUAAGAGUAAAUAAUAUUGAAAAAAGGAAAAAAGUAAAAUAUUUUAAGCCUAAAUUAAAAUGAAAAAUAAACCUUAAAAAAAGAAAUUCAAUGAAUUUGGUGCUAAUUCACAUUUGUGUUCUAGAUGCCUGUGUUUUCAUAGCACAUUUUGACCUGGUUUCUGUACAGAUCAUUUAUUCAUAUAAGGUCGGUGAUAGUCUAUAAUAUUUAAGCUAGCUUGACCCAAAUAUUAUUAAAGGAAAUUUCCCUUGCACCGACCUGUAUGAUUUUCCCUGUAUGAUCAUUUAUUCAGACAAAUUGACCGACCUGUAUGAUUUUCCCUUGCACUUCCUUCCUAAUUAAUUAAGAUGAGAAUCUCGUAUAAUUUUUUAUAUGAUGUUUAGCCUUUUGAGGAUACAUAAAUUCAAAAAUAUAUGAAGUUAUAUGACCUUAUUUGUUUAAAGAAGAGAAAGCAAUUUUGAUAGUAGUUGAAUUUGUUUGAUUUUUAUAAUUAAAUAUUUUAUUUUGACUUUUAUUUAAAUAGGUAUUUAAUAUUUUAUUUCAUAAAAUUUAGAAUUCGUUUGUUUUAAUUUGUGUUUCAAAAAUGUUUUUGAAAAAAAUAAUUUUUCUUUUUAUUUUUAUUGUUUUAAAUUAUUUUUUAAGUGCUUUCAUAUCGUUUUAGUAUACUGAUAUUAAAAAUAAAUUUUAAAAAAUAAAAAAAAAUAUUUUAAUAUAUUUUUAAAUAAAAAAUAUAUUAAAAAAUUACCAAUACCAUGGUAUUAAUUAGAUGCAUUAUAGUACAAGACAGAAAAACUCUUGCUAAAGCUUAACGGAAAAUUUCUUGGAUCAAAGAAUCUAACUUGAAAGAUCCAAAAAAUAAAAACUCCUUCUUAGCGUAUUUUUCAUUGUAAUUGAUGCUAAUUAAUAUAUUUUUUUUAUUUAAAAUAUUUAGAUGAUCGACUUUAAUUUUGUUAAAUAAAGAUCAGGUCCACAUGACUUUAUUAGAGAAGAUAAAAAUUGAAGUUAGGUAAAAAAAAUAUUGAUUUAAUUUUUUUUUAAUAAUUUUUAUUUUCCAAUUUUAAUCUAGAUUUUGAAGUAAAUUCUCUCUCCCAUUUUCUUGUUUAUAUGACAUCUUAUUGAUACUAUCAAUCCUAAAUAUUGUUUUAAGUAUCAAUACACACGUCAUCAAUUAAGGAACACAUCAUAAUUUGAUUAACAAAUUAAAAUCCAUUUAAAUACUUUAUUACUGGAAAUAAAAUAAAUCAAAUGUGAAUAAAAUUAAAAAUUAGACACUCAAAAUCAAUAAUUGUGUUUUUCAUCUUUGAAAACACGCUUAAUUAACACUUGUUAGGAUAGAUCAUGAAGAACCUUUUGUAUUAUAUUAUAUAUAGUAUACUGAUGAGAUUGGUUAUAGUUUUUUUUUUUUUUUCCUGAAAGAUAUCACUAGUAUUGAGAUUUGAUUAAUUUGUUUCUAAAGCUCAGUUAUAACAUUGUUUUAGUGUAUAACGUCAGAGGAAUAAGAUUUUUGUCCAAAUCUUAAUAUAUUGAGUGGCAUGGCUUGAUCAUCACCUUAAUAUAUUCAGAAUCUUUUAGUGCAACCGUUAUACCUGCCUAGCUCGAACAUUGCCAAAAAUCUUCUAUAUAUAACCACCCUUCUUUGUGCUCUAAAUUUCCCUCUGCCUCUGUCUCUUCGGAAGAUUUCCUUUUUCAAAGCUUCUUCUUGGCUCAUUAAUUUGUGUAAUUGAAGCUACAAGGAUCGGUUGCCUACGUAAGCUCAUUGAUCUUUCCAUAUUUUUCUUUUAGAUGAAAAUGUAGCUGUGUUUUCAAUAUCUCCUCUAUCUUUUCUAAACAUUAUGCAUGCAUCUUUAGAUCUGGUAUACAUGUUUCUGUCAGGAAUUCCUUUUCUUUUGCUAAUAGAACCAUUAAUGUCUGAGAGAGAAAAAAGAAAAGGGUUCUAUAAGAUUUGGAAUAUAUCUAGCUUUUUUCAUGUCAAUAUUGCCAUCAUGGAAGGGAUGAUAUCUUAGGGUUCAAGUCCUCACCAAUGAGAUGUAAGUCCUUCUUUAAACCUAAACAAAAUCAUAUUCUUUGCAAGAAAAGAAAAGGAGAUCCAUUAGAGAGGAAUGGCUCGUGAAGAGGGAAGAUGGAAGACCUAAAAUAAUGACAAUGUUGUUGGUAACUUUCAUCAAUUUGUGUUACCUUUCCAGCACCAUAGAAAAUUGAUACUUUCUCCAUGAUGGUACGUGCAUAUACAUUUUGGGUAUUUUGCCACGUUUAUUUCUUCAAAAUUUUCCUAUUCAAAGAGAGGUUGCAUUUUUUUUUCAUUGAAUGUUUUGAGUAUUUCAAUUUCACAAAGAUUUCCAUGGUAGAGUAUCUUAAACAUUUAUGUUUUGUCUGUGCAUGCAGGAGUUUCUAUCGAUUGCUGUUAGAUCAUGGUAGCCAGUAAUUAACUUGCCUUGAAAGGUUUCUAUGUUCCCCAUUCUGCAAAAUGUUUGAUUGUGGUUACAAGUCACAAUACAUUGGUGGCCAGAAGGAAAAAUUUGUGAGGUACUACACAUCAGAUCCUCUUAUGUUCAUCUUAAUGAUAUGUGCUUUAACAUGAAUUAGCUAACCCCAUGGUGGCAUAUUUGGAACUUGUAGGUUGGAUGAUUUUGAUUCGUUAUCAGUGACUUCUAGCAAUAAAGGAAUGAAGAAACUGAGGUUUAAUGUAGACGGUUUCAACAUAAGUACUGGACAGGAGAAGAAAAAUGCAUCAAAAUCUUUUAGACAUGGGGUGAAAAAAGGAUCAAAAGGAUUGGUGACAAUUGGACGAUCACUUAAAACUGGAGUCGCUCGUGCAGUAUUUCUGGAGGACCUUAAGGUGUCCGAGAAGAUGAUUUUUGACCCUCAACACAAAUCUCUUCUGUUAUGGAAUAGACUUUUGGUCAUGUCAUGCAUUUUAUCAGUAUCCAUUGAUCCUUUGUUUUUUUACCUUCCUGUCUUCAACUAUCAAAUGACUUGUCUGGGUAUGGAUACAAAGUUAGCAGCAGCAAUUACAACUAUGAGGACAACACUUGAUGUUUUCUAUCUGAUUCGCAUUGCUCUUCAGUUUCGAACAGCCUAUGUUGCACCAUCAUCACGGGUUUUCGGACGAGGUGAACUUGUGAUUGAUCCGGCACAGAUAGCCUCCCGAUAUUUAAGCCGUUAUUUUAUUGUUGAUUUUCUCUCUGUGCUACCUCUGCCACAGGUUUGAGAAAUACUUUUCUUCUUUCUGGCCUGUUGCAUUCUUAAAUUUUAGCCCUGCAUUGUUUUUUUUUUUUAUGAACAAGUCUUUUUGAUUCUAUAUGGUAGUUGUAUACAUACUAUAUUUAUCUUCUUCUGCAGAUAGUGGUAUGGAAAUAUCUUACUAAUAAAAAGAAGGGCUCGGAGGUGUUAGCUACGAAGCAGGCAUUGCUGAUUAUUGUUUUUUCUCAGUACAUCCCAAGGUUUGGUCGCUUUUUUCCUUUGACUUCAGACCUGAAAAAGAGUGCUGGAUCCUUUGCUGAGAGUGCUUUAGCCGGUGCUGCGUACUAUCUACUUUGGUACUUGCUUGCAAGUCAUGUAAGUAAUUAAUUUUAUGCAGCUAGGUCUUACUAGUAUGUUUGAUCCUUGGAUAUUUGGAUAGGAGUGGCUGCAUUGUGUUUUACACCAACGUUGGUCAAAGUUCAUAUCCCUGGAGAAAUCAAGAUAAUCACCCCAACAAAGUUUUGGUUUGUUUCUGUGAUGUUCUUAGCUUGAAUAUAUAAAUGUAACGCAAGGAAAAUGACUCCAAAUCCUAAAUGUUGCACGAUGGAUUGAUGAACUUUCAACAUUAACAGACUAUCUACUGAUCUUAGAAUCUACAUUUCUUAGUUUUCUCUUAAACCAAAUAUUACUAGGAUACAUUAAAGAUGCCUGUGGAGCAAUUUAUCAAAGUUAUCUGACAAGUGAAGAGUGAUUAGUGAAGUAGGGAUGGUUUUAUCUGUCUGAAUAUUCUUAUAUGUAUUGGUUAAUUGGAAAGUAGAGAGCAUCAUUUCAACCAAAUUGUGUUUUGUUUUAUAUUGUUUAGCUGUGUCCUACAAACUACUUGUGGUGGACCUUUAAGUAAGGUAAGGUUUAUUAACAUGAGGGUUCCUUUAUUAACUGUCUUAAAUUAUUACUGGAUCUGGGAUUACAGGAUAACUUCACAUACAGAAGAAAACAACAUCAUUUGAGCUUGCUGAAGGAUGAGAUUUAACACCAUGUGAUGCAAUUUGACUGUGAACUCUCUACAAGAAUUGGAUCCAAGUUUCAACCGAAACGAAAAUCUACUGCUUUUCUUACAGGGGAAAUUCAACAGCUCAUAUCCUUGCCCAGAUCCAGUAAUAAUUUUUUAGUUGCGAGUCUCUUAGUUGAUUUCUACUGCUUUUCUUACAGGGGAAAUGAUUCAUAAAUCAGGAGUAACGUAAAACUCUGGACCAAAGCAAGAUGCAUCUCAUGAUUCUUGCAAUAUUUUAUGUGCCUCUAUCAAAUUAGGAAUACUUCAGUUCAAGCCAAAGCGUAAACCAGUAAUGGGCUCGGUUGAGCAUUGCAAGUUACAAUCAAGUCGCCAAAAACAGUACUCUCAAAAUUCAAUUUCUUUUCCUUUCUUUUCAUGCUUUCUGCAGCCAAGCAGAGAAUGGAAAAUAACCGAGGUUCCUGUACAUUGUUUACAGCAGCCGUGCGUUUGAGGCCUAUUCACUUUAUCAGAGGAUACAUGAAUAAAAUUUAGUUAAAAAGAAGACAAAGCAGGAAUGCAAUUUAUAGAAUAGGAAAGGAAGCAAGAAGGAACAAAUAAGUCUCCCAACUCCUGAAACUUGACUAUUUCAGGUAAAACUUUUCUGCUCGACUUUCGGUAAGUUUCUGGCGGUGCUUUUCUUGCUGCUGCUAACUCAACUACGCCAAUCAGAAGAUGUUUCAAGUUCAACGUCUUCUUCCCACCAAGUGGCAGACUGCAAUACCAAUCACGCAAUUGACAUCAUGAAAUUUCAGGUUCCUUUUUUAUAUAAUUUUUUUGGGGAAGGGGCUGAAAAUUCAACUACGGAAACAGAUUUUAUGAGGGAUAUGGUACUGUAAUAAAUUUUGGAAAUUACAUUAAAUGUGAAGGAAAAAAUAUUCAGCAGGGACACGUACAAAGUGCUGCCAGUUUACGUGUAUGUAUGUCCGCAUAUAUUUAUGCAUGUUUGUUCUUGCUAAGUAUAAAAGUUGAAUAGGGGAAUUGUGAAUUGGAAAAACUACUCAACUACACAAAUAAAAUGAGUAGUCAGAGAAAAUACGCAAUUUAACUUCAAAAGUUCAUUUCCAUCUUUAUGUUUUUCUAUUAUCAAUACAAUCUCAAGUUUUUUGUCAUGCAUCUAAUGGAAUUCCAUUAUUUCCUUGCUAAGGAUUUCCUUGCUAAGGAUACAGGAGGGGGGAAAAGUGCAUGAUCACUUGCAAGUUUCAUAUAUAUUUUAACACUUACCUUCUGAAUUCAUUAGAUUACUAAAUUGAUUUUCAAAUUCCAACGUAUUAUGCACAUCGUGUCAUCAUAUCAAUAUCUAAAACUUUUCUCAAGCUUGUGUAACCUCAAGUAAAUUAAAGGUUGGAUGAGCAGCUAUCUAAUAUUUGCAAAUACAUAACAAAUCAAUAAAGAGGAUUCAAAUUUGCCAGAUCACAGCUGUAUGCUCAUGAAGCUACGGGAAAGGGAAGAAGUAGUAAAAAGUAUGCAGGCAUGCCAGCUUAGAUGGUAACAGUGAGACUAAAAUUGAAAUAAAAGCUAGGAUCCAUGAUUGGUCAAGGUUUUUCAAGAUAAACCUUACCACAUACUUCUCUAUAACAGAAAGUUCACGUGUACUGCAGUUAAUAAACACAUAGAGUGAUGGUGGCUCGUUGGACUGCCAACGACCUACAAACAAAAGGACCGAGAAGAAUGGUAAGUUCAGAUUUUCCACUUUUUCUUCAUUUUUUCUAAGAUAUUUGAGAAGGGAAAUGAAAAGAGAAUAGCACAAUAAAUUAUAAUAAUAUAAAUGCAUACAAUUGAUCUACAGGGGCAACCAAUGUUCCUCUAUUAUUGACCAUAAAAUGCAAUCAUAAGUAAACUAAAAAAACAAACUGCAUCGUAUGAUAAGCAAAUAAAUGAGAGAGAUAGAGGUCAUUAUUUAAAGGAAAAAUUGCAAUAGCACACAAGUUUUUCCAAAAAAACAACACACCAGUACAAUUGUUAUAUGAUCACACGGAUUAUAUUCACCUCUAAUGUUGUAGAAGCUUAAAUACUCUCUUUAUUAUGGUAAAAGGUAUGUUCAGUAGCAUUUUAAAGAAAACACCUCCAUCUCUUUUCAUGCAGAUUGAGUUAGGAUGUUGUUCAAAUACAGACUUCUACAUUGGUUUAAAAUUUCUUGAACUAACCUUCACUGUCAUCUUCAAAAUCAAAAUCCAAGGUGUUCCUCACAGACUUGAAAAAUGUGGUGACGGGACCACUCGGAAAGAAAUAAACAAAGAGGUAAAGUCCAUAUAAGAAUUGAUGAAUGUCGUAAGUCAAGCUUUAGUUUCAGAAGUGUUUCCUUGAAUAGGUUACAGAUUGAAUGAAGAAAAUAAACUACAUUUGACUAGAGAAAGAACUCAGAACUCAAUUUGUGUUCUAUAUCAUCUUUUAAGUGCAAGGAAGAUCAAUCUUUCUGCUAAUCGAGGUGUAUUGAACUCAUAAUUCAUUAGAUACUUUUUAUGAAUGUCAACUAAGUAUUGUAAGUUAUAAAAUGAUUUUUUUUUUUUUUUUACUGCUUUGUAUAUUAGCUUAACUCCUGAACCACAUCCCACAACCAAAUUCAUUUUAGAACCAAAAGGCUGAAGGAGUUUCUAAUUAGAAGGUAAAAGCCAAAGGCCCUUGCUAAGAAGAGACCUCAAGCCAACCAUCUAUGAUUACUCGGAAUAAGAAGUUAACCUCAAAUUAGAAUGUUACCGAGUCAAGAGCUGUCUUGAAAAUCCGACAAGCCCUUAGCAUUUCUGGCUUAUCAGGAAACACCUGGAAGAGAAAACACCAUGUUCAGCUCUUCUUUUUUUUAUGUGGAAGUGGAUAAUUUAAUAGAUGACAAUCACAUCUUACAACGCAAGCUCUGGUUUCUGUUUUUUCUUGCAGCUUCCUUAUAACAGCCAAGGCAAGUUGAAUGUUGGCAUCAAUGAACUCAUCUGAAGAUCCCUUCACAUAGUCAGAAAUUUGAAAUUAUAAAAUUUCCAUGUUUACUAUUUUCUUGUCUUCCCUAGGAGGCAAAUCAAACCAUCCUCAAAGACAAAAAACAAAUUUUCUGGUAUUGUACACCUUAUAAAUAAAAAAUUAUUCACUCACCUGACUCAAAAUCAAAUAGCACUCAAAAGCAUCAAACUAAACAAAAGCUAAUAUUAAACUAAUCUGCAAAAGCUAAUAAAACAAAUAAUAAAAUUGGUAAUAAUUCACUAAAUAACCCUCAAUUAUUCAUCAAACUAAUAUGCAAAAGCUAAUAUUACAGCUAGAGACUAAUCUAGAAUUUAUUAUACUUUUAGGGUCAAAUUGUAAUUUUCAUCUAAUUGGAGGACCAAACUAAACAUAUCAUAAAUUCAUGAAUAUAGUGGAAUUAUGUCCAUAAUUCAUCCUCAUUUCUGUCUAGAACCUCUAAUUAUGCUCCAGGGACCAUUCUGGAAUUUUUCCAAAUGUUUAGGGUCAAAUUGUAUUUUUUGUCAAAUGGAGGACCAAACUAAAAUUUGUCAUAAAUCCAUGAAUAUACUGAAAUUCUGACCAUAAUUAAUCCUCAAUUCUGUACAGAAUAUCUCAUUAUACUCCAGGGACCAUUCUGGAAUUUUACCAAAAUUUUAGGGUCAAAUGGUAAUUUUUGACAAAUUAGAGGACCAAAUUGAAAGUGUUAAAAUUUCAUAACUGUACAGUAAUUCUGCCCAUAAUUCAUAUUUUAUUCUGUUCAGAAUCUCGGAAUAUGCUCCAGGGACCAAUUUGUAAUUUUCAAAAGUUUGGGGACUAAACUGUAAUUUUGCAAUCUGAGGGACCAAAUUGAAUUUUCGUCAUCUUCAACCUCCAAUCCAGAAUUUUAUUAGAAAACCCACUGUUAUCUCUAAAUUUCUAACACAAAUUCACCAUUCAAACAAAAUCAUAACUCAAAAUCAUCAUCUUUCAAUUGAAUCUCUCAAAAUCAUCCAAAUAAUCAAUUACACAUAACAAUCAACCCCUAACAUUCAAUUUAAAUCAUCAAUCAAACUCAAAACAUAAACUUCAUAACCCUAACAUUUAUCAAAACUGAAAUUAAAGCUUAAUUAACACAUAUUUAUACAUAAUUUUACCUUUAAACUUAUUUCCUUCAACUCCUUUCUAUUUUCUUUCUAAUUCCCUCUUUUCUCUUCUUCUUCCUCCCUUUCUCUCCUGCCGGUUUGCUCUCUUAAUUUUAGAUCUCUCUUUUUUUUUCUAUUUAUAUUUAUCAAGUUUUGUUGAAUUAUCAAUAUACCCCUUAUUCAUUUAUUCCAACUUUUAAGCCUUCAAAGGCUUUAUUGCAUUUUCCAACUCAUUUAUUUCAAAACAUUACAAUCUCCCCACCUUAUAAAAGUUUCGUCCUCGAAACUUAAUAGAAAAGAUUGAAUACUUACCGAGAUUAUCGAAAAGAUGAGGAUACUCCUCACGCAUCUUAUCCUCGAGCUCCCAUGUCACUUCCUCACGUGAAUGACCUUUCCAUUUCACCUUCACUGAAGCUAUAUCCUUCGACCUAAGCUUCCUCACUUGUCGGUCGACUAUAGCUUCCGGUUGCACCUCAUAAACCAUAUCAUCUCAACUCAAUGGGAUGAACCUCUAACACAUGUGAUGGAUCUGACAUAUACUUCCUUAGCAUGGAAACAUGAAAUACCGGAUGAAUAGCAGACAAGUUUGGUGGUAAUGCUAACCUAUAAGCAACUACCCCAACUCUCUCUAAAAUCUCAUACGGUCCAAUGAAUCGAGGACUCAACUUGCCUUUCUUCCUAAACCUGAAUACUCCUUUGGUCGGUGAUACUUUUAAGAACGCACAAUCACCCACUGAAAACUCUAAGUCACGCCUUCUUCUAUCCGCGUAACUCUUUUGUCUACUCUGAGCUGUUUGAAGCUUCUUUCUAAUUACCUCAAUCUUCUCUGAGGUAAUCUGAAUCAACUCCUGGUCCCAUUAGCCUCUUCUCACCAACCUCAAACCAACAAACCGGUGAUCUACACUUCCGACCAUACAAAGCUCAUAAGGUGCCAUCUCUAUGCUAGCCUGAUAACUGUUGUUGUAAGCAAAUUCCACUAAUGGUAGGAACUUACUCCAACCAACUCCAAAAUCCAUAACACAAGCCUUUAGCAUAUCCUUUAAGAUCUAAAUAGUCCUCUCAGACUGACCAUCAUUCUGAGGGUGAAAAGCUGUACUCAACUGCACUGUAGUACCCAUAGCUUCUUGGAAUUUCACCCAAAACCGCGAUGUAAGCUGUGGACCUCUAUCAGACACUAUCGAGAUUGACACUCCAUACAAUUGUACAAUCUCACUAAUAAACAAUUCCGCCAACUUUGCAUAUCCAUAAGUAAUCUUAACUGGCAGAAAAUGGGCUGAUUUUUCAACCUGUCAACAAUCACCCAUAUCGAAUCAUAACCCUCCUGACUCCUAGGCAAUCCUGUCACAAAGUCCAUUGUGAUCCUUUCCCACUUCCAUUCUGGAAUCAACAAUGGUUGUAACAAUCCAGGAGGUUUCUGGUGUUCACCCUUUACCCUCUGACAGGUCAAACACCUAGAAACAAAAUCUGCUACAUCAGCCUUCAUCCUAUUCCACCAAUAACACACCUUAAGGUCUUUAUACAUCUUGGUGGAACCUGGAAGCAUUGUGUAAACUGUCUGAUGUGCCUCUACCAUCAAUUCUCUCCUCAGAUCAUCUACAUCAGGUACAUAAAGCAUGUUCCUAUAUCUCAGCACAUCAUCAUCACCUCACAAAACUUGCAGCCUUACCCUGCUCAACCUCAUUUCUAAUCCUGAGUAGUGAAUCAUCUUUCUUCUGAGCUGCUUUUAUCUUAUCAAACAAAUCUGACUUAACCUGAAAAUGAGCAAUCAUUGCUUCAGCUUCACUAAGAUCAAAUCUGACUCCUUCAUCCAUUAAUUCAUGCAGCUCCCUAAUCAGAGGUCUUUGUACCUCCUGAAUAUGAGCUAAGCUCCCUGAUGAUUUUCCACUCAAAGCAUCGGCAACUACAUUUGCCCUACCCGGGUGGUACUGUAUGGUACAAUCAUAAUCCUUUAGUAGUUCCAUCCACCUCCUCUGCCUCAGGUUUAGAUCCCUCUGUUGAAAGAUGUAUUUCAAACUCUUGUAAUCUAUAAAGAUCUCACAAGUUUCACCAUAUCUAAGUAGUGUCUCCAAAUCUUCAAAGAAAAAAUUGCAGUCGCCAUCUCUAAAUCAUGUGUAGGAUAGUUCUGUUCAUGCUUCUUUAGCUGCCCUGAAGCAUAAGCAAUAACUUUGUCAUGCUGCAUUAGAACACAUCUUAACCCCACUCUUGAAGCAUCACAAUACACUGUGUAAACAUCAGAACCUGAUGGUACUGCUAGAAUAAACGUUGUAGUUAAUCUCUCUUUCAACUCUACGAAACUUUUCUCACAAGCUUCACACCACUGAUACUUAAUAUUUUUCUGCGUUAACUUAGUCAAUGGAGCAGAAAUCCGAGAAAAGUUCUCCACAAACCUCCGAUAGUAGCCGGCCAAACCUAAGAAACUUCUAAUCUUUGUCGCCGAAAUAGGCCUAAGCCACCACUUAACUGCUUCAUUCUUUUGAGGAUCAACCUCAAUACCAUUCCUUGACACUACAUGCCCAAGAAAUGCUACACUCUCCAACCAAAACUCACUCUUUAAGAACUUGCCAUACAACUGAUGAUCUCAUAGAGUUUGAAGCACCUCAUUAUACUCAUGUCAUUCCAACUUCAUGAGAGAAUCUGCAGCUCCUAUUUUGUUAGAAUUUAGAUUUGAGUUCACAUUUUCUUUCCUGCACUUUUCAUUCCUGGUCAUGCUUGUACCGGUUUUUGCCGCUACUUUUGUGCCUCACAUGCUCCAAAAUGUAUUGAAAUAUAUGCACAUCUGAGUUUUGGAAAAUAGCCUACAAUAAUUGAGGAUAAAGAGAGUGAGUGGCUGAUAUACAAUGAUAGGCCUAUAACCCAAUAGCUUGUACACCUGGGUAGAGGGCUUUGUGCACUCAUAAUGUAAUAUCUCAUAUGCAUAGGCCCAUAGACCAACAUGCAAUAUGAUAGAGUAGAUCUCCCAACAAGCGGUUGCGGAACCGAUAGUUCAGCUAGAUACAAAUGAAGUGGAUGACUCUCCAAAACGUAAAUUAUGAUACCUAUAUACUUUGCUGUCAUCGAUUACAAUCACAACCCUACAGUAUUAGAUAACAAGUGAAGUAAAGGGAGAGUGAGGAAAAGAGAUUGCUCCCCUGAUUUUUAUAGUGGAAAUCUUUCAUGGACGGGGGAUCCAAUUGGGAUUUUUUUAUUGGGUAGCCAUUUGAAAAUCACGUGUUAGUCAGGGGACAGAUAUGUUCUUUUCCCUAUUGCUUUGCAUCUGGGUAACUGUCGCUCUCUGCUAUGAUAAUGCUUAAUGUUUUUUUCUUGCUUAUGUUGAUAAAUAAGAAAUAUUGGUUAUUGCAGAUUUUUCUCAACCCCCUCUAUUUGCCUGGUUCCCGCAUUGCAUCUUCGCAUUUUGACACCAAAGUCCGUGCUCUUGCAAGAAAAUACCUUUAGCGGUGGUCAGUCGUUUACAAUAGUCUGAGAGCUAUUGGGGUGAUGGAAUGAACUUAGAAAGUACCACCAUCCUUUUUCUUGUCUCGGCCAUUGAGUUUCAUUCAUGAUGGUAAAGAUUAGUGGCUGUGUGCAAUUUGCUUAAUGCUGCAUCGGAUGCCUCAAUGGAUGCAUAAAACACAAGCAGCAACUAAAACGCGUUGAUUAUUUUUGUGACAAUUUGUUUCACUCAAAUUCUUAAUGUUAGCAGUUGAGACACGGUGAUUAAAUGAUGUAUUCUUUUUUUCUUUUAAUAUAAAAUCUAAUCAUGCGUUUGUAUAUCUCGAUUCCAGGGUUGUCUUUCUUGAUGGUAGCCUAAUUUAUAUAUUUAUCCAAUCAAGUGAGCAUUGAGGGGAAAUUCCUUUUUCGCUCCUGCCAUGUCUUUUUCUUGCCCUUUCUCAUUUCUACCCGAGCAGAACAUGGCCAGUGAUCAUCGCAAUGCUCAUGAACAAAAUGCUGGUCUGUUUAAGCUCACCGUUUAACUUGGCUAAUCCUUCUGAGGACAUGCAAAUCAUUUAUAUGUUUCGUUAAGAUAUACCUUCUGUAUUUUAUCCCCCUCUCAUGUAGCCUGUGGCAUCCAAAAUAUGUAACGAUUGUUAUUAUUAUCAUUACAACUAGAUUGUAAAUUAUCUUGCUGGGUUAAUUUUAAAUUAAUUUAGGUUAUGUUUGUGAAUGAUGUGUAAAUCGUAUUUUUUUAAAGUUUGAAUUUUUUUUUGUUUAAAAUUAUUAGUUUUUUAUAUUUUCAGAUUUUUUUAAUAUACUAAUGUAAAAAAUAAAUUUUUUUAUUUUAAUAUAUUUUUAAAUAAAAAAUAUUUUAAAUUUCAAUAGCUCCUAUAAUCUAAAAGGCCUUUGCCGGGCCACGGUGCUUCCUAGGUUCUAGCUGCCAUGUUACUCUUUGGUCCAGUUGUCCUUUGUAAAGGCUAUAUAAGGCAAAUGGUUUCAAAUUUCCACUCCCAAGUCUCCAUUCCCAUUUCCCCUGAGCUCAACUCAUGUCACUCCUAACAAUUGCAAGAAGACUACAGAUAUCCCAUUCCCGACUCCUUUUCCCACUUCUCUAUUCCAUCACCUACCCUCUCCCUCCCUCUCCCUCUAGUAACUCCAAUUAUCCUAUCUUUUUCUCUGCGGAAUUUCAUCGAACACUGUCAAUACCCACACGAUCCCCUCACCAUUUCUCCACUUCCCAAUCCUUCUCCACUCAAUAUCUCAACGUCUCUUUUGAGCUAAUUCAACAAGGAAUCCAAACCCAUGAACCUCUUCAAACGGGCCUUCUCCAAUCACUCAAAAUGGCUGCCAAUUUACCCUCUGAAGCUGUCACGACCCGAAUCCCGGAUCCAUGACCGGCACAUAGGCAAGAUUCCCCUCCAAGGUUCCAAGCCUAUGCGAACCCAAACUUACAUACAAUCCUUUAAACAACUCAAUCAGAGUUUAACGCAGAAUUAACAACAAACAACUUCAUAAUAUAAUUCGAUUGUCUUAAUACAAGAGUUAAUAAUUUCAUAGUUUUGGAGCACUAACUUGACACAAAAGGAAGGUACAAAUUACAACCAAAAAGACAGGUUCGGAAGGUUCAACAAAAGUAACCUGCUAUCAAGCUAUAAGCCUGAAAAGGAUAAAUAAUGAGAGGGUGAGUUCAACAACUCAGUGAGUAGAUAACAUUCAAUAUACACAUACGAGGUAAUAUAACAAUGAGAAAUAUAUAUACAAGUAUGGCUUUAGUUCUUAUACGAAGGUUUAUCAAAUAGGCCAUAACAAGAAUAUCAUAUGGUAAAACUCGUCAGAAAAUCAAAAUGCAAUGAGCAUGAGGCUCCGUACUGUUGGAUGAUCAGUCCACACAGGUUGGUGACUCCCCCGACCAACUAGGGUUCAGAUACGAUGUGCACAAAGACUAACACUACCCUGUUAGCAUGGGUAUUCUGACUGACAUACCAUAGGUUCAUAAUCAUAAUCAAACAAACAUAUUCAUAUCUCAAAGCUCAACUCAUGACAUCCAUCAAAUGAGGAGCUAUCAAUUCAGAAGUCAAAUCAUAUUGGUUCAUAUCAAGAAAUCAGAUUCAAUAAUUGAUCAUGCUUUAUCAUAUCAAAGAUAAUAAUCAGCAUAUAAUAUUUAUAACAUAUAUUAUCAAGAAGCAUGAUCCAAUUCAUAUUAACAAAUCAAAUAUUUAUAAUAUUUCUCAUGCAUAUGGAAAAUUAUCCACUCACCUGACUCAAAAGCAAACAACACACACAAGCUGAAACCGAAGGAAAUUCUACUGACGUCCUGCCGGUAGAAUAUCAGGAUUAUCUGAAUACAAAGGAGACAUAUUCAAAAACGACUUGAAAGAACAUUUAAUCUAUUUAAUACACUUAACUAAGGGUGUAUUCCGUAACCCUAUAUAUUAUAGUCAAUUUUCUUAAAAACCCAAAAUCUAACGGUUUUCCUGAAAUCUAAUCCAUAAUAAAAACAACUAAUAAAAUUGGUAAUAAUUCACUAAAUAACCCUUAAUUAUUCAUCAAACUAAUCUGCAAAAGCUAAUAUUACAGCUAGGGACUAAUCUGGAAUUUUUCCAUAUUUUUAGGGCCAAAAUGUAACUUUUGUCAAAUGGAGGACCAAAUUGAAAGUGUUAAAUUAUCUUAUCUAUACAGUAAUUCUGUCCAUAAUUCAUAUGUUAUUCUGUUCAGAAUCUCGGAAUAUGCUCCAGGGACCAAUUUGUAAUUUUCCAAAGUUCGGGGACUAAACUGUAAUUUUCGGAAAUUGAGGGACCAAAUUGAAUUUUCGUCAUCUUCAACCUCCAGUCCAGAUUUUAACAGAAACCCCACUGUUCUCCCCUGAUUUCUAACUCAAUUUUCACCAUUUACACAAUUCUAUAACUCAAAAUCAUCAUAAUCUUCCAUAAUCAACUAAAUCAUCAAUUAAACACAACAAUCAACCCCUAACCUUCAAUUUAAUUCAUCAAUUUAAAUCAAACACAAAUUCUCAAAACCCUAACAUUCAUAAAAACUGAAAUUAAAGAUUAAUUAACAUAUUAUACACAUUAAACAACCUAAAUCUUACCUUUUUCACUUAUUUUCUCCAAAACUCUUCCUUUUUCCCUUAUUUUCUCUUCUUCUUCUUUCUCUUCUUCUUCUUUCUCUUCUUCUUCUUUCUCUCUUCUCUCUCACGGUUCUGCUCUCUAAUUUCAGAUCACUUUCCUUCUUUUUUUUUUUCUUUUUACUUCCUAUUUAUAUUUAUCAAUUAUUUAUCCAAUUACUAUUAUACCCUUAUUUAAUUUAUUCCUACAUCUAAGCCUUCAAGGGCUUUCUAGGCUUUUCCUAUCCCUUUAAUACAAAACAUCACAGAAGCAGAGGCUAUGGCUUCUCUGGAUGAGUCAGGCAUUAGAGCAAAUCAGAAUCUAGUGUAUUCAGUGAUAUGGGAACUAAGAGAAGAGUGGAGACUUGCUUUUCUGGCUUUUAAAUGGGGAGAUAAAUGGGGCUGUGUUGAUGAGAAAGCUUGUGAAUUGAUGGUGUGGGUUUUGGGUAAUCAUAGGAAGUUCAAUACUGCUUGGAUUUUGAUCAGAGAUUUGCACAGGUCCUUGAUGAGUACUAGAAAAGCUAUGCUUAUUAUGAUUGAUAGGUGAGAUUGUGUUCUUCAAGUUUGGUUCUUUAAAGUUUGAUCUCGUUUUAGUUUCAAUGGAAUUUGCUUAUUAGCAGGUAUGAAAAUAUAAUUUUGGUUAAAGUCCUUUGAUUUUCGAGUUUAUCUCAUGGAAACUAUAAAGAGAAUUAUGGUAAACAUGUACAAAAUUUAAAGAAAUGAUGAUUCACUUCAUUUUCAUGUGGCGUCUUUUUAGUUAUUUCACAUUGUAAAUGUUGAAUAAACUCAAUCCAGAAGCUCCUAGAUGGUCAAGGAAGGCAACCACCGCCCAGCCAGCCACCAGCUGCCACCAACCGACCAGCCACCAGCCGCAGCCGCCAGCCGCCUUCACACUUAAAGAAAGUUUGAAUUUUCGUAUUCUGUUUUUGUGUAUAAAUAGAGUGCCCAGCUUAUGUUAUAUGAGUGGAGAGAAUAGAGAGAAACACUUGAAAGAGAAAGAGAGAGAGAGAGGGCGUGUAUUAAGUUUUUAUUUUGUGUUAUUUGUAAGCUUCGGAUUUUGUAAUAAAACCAGUGUGUUUUAUCCCCUCUGAGUGUUUCAAAGCCACCACCAGUGGUCCUCCCACCAACAAUUGGUAUCAGAGCCCCGUUCGUCGGAAAACAGAAGUGUUUUGGGGUAUAUCCGAAUUUUCAAAAUUGUCAAAAACAAGUUUUGAUCAUUCCACAGUGUAGAGCUCAUCAAGACGAACUCACUGCCGCAAAAAUCAGCCAAAUCGGAGUCCGGGGUAGCCCACACGCGCCGCCUGAAUAUUCAGCCAGAUCGCCCACGCGCAUCCCACGCGCCCCGAGGUUGAAGACGACUGAGCCACACGCGCGCCAUAUUUGAGCCGCGCCGAGCCGUAUACGCCGAUUCCUAGCCGAGCCACAAGCCGAGCCGUACCCCGAGCCGAGCCGAGCCGAAGGAAUAUUCCCCGGAAUAUUCCCCAGAAUAUUCCCGGUUCAACCCAGUGAACCGCCCGCCGUACAGAAUUGGUUUUUUGACCGGUUCACUCAUUUUUUGACCCGAUUUCAACAAAGUCAGACCGGUUCCCUACUAUUUGGACCAUUCCGGAUCGAUCUACAGUGUCCGUUUGGCCAAAUUCGGCUCCCAGAAGGUGAUAUAGUCAUUCAAAGAGGAAAAUGACUACAGAAGGUACACAUACACUCAUCCCGAAGCUGACCAAAGACAACUAUGAUAGUUGGUGCAUCAGAUUGAAGGCAUUUCUUGGGUCACAAGAGUGUUUUGAUAUUGUACAAACUGGUUAUGAUGAACCAGAGUCCAAAGAAAGAGAAGAUGCUUUACAAGAGGCACAGAAGCAAGUCCUUAAAGUCAACAGAAAGAAGGACAACAAAGCAAAGACCAUCAUCUAUCAAGGUCUUGAUGAAGAUACAUUCGAGAUAAUAGCUUCCGCUGAAACGUCACAUGAUAUAUGGGAGGCUCUCCAACAGAAAUACAAAGGUGCUGACAGAAUCAAGAAGAUUCGUCUUCAAUCUUUGAGAGGAGAAUUCGAAUUAUUACGAAUGAAGUCCUCAGAAUCUAUUUCUGAUUAUCAUACAAGGAUUAUGGUGAUAGUCAACCAGAUGAGAGAAAUGGAGAAGCCCUCAUAUGACUCGAAUUAUUGAGAAAAUUUUGAGAUCCAUAGAUCCAAAAUUUGAUCAUGUUGUUGUCGCAAUUGAAGAGUCCAAGGAAGUGGACAAGUUGACAGUGGAUGAGCUUAUGAGUUCGUUGCAAGCUCAUGAGCAGAAGAUUGUAAUGCGAAAUGAAGAUAAGGCCAUUGAGCAUGCCUUACAAGCAAAGCUGUCUUUCAAGGACAGAUAUGAGCAAGGGGAGACUUCAACAGGUGGCUACACCACUCAAGGAGGAAGUCAACAAUCCAGAGGAGGAUUCCAGCAAUUCCAAGGAAGAGGAAGAGGAUCUUGGAAUACAAGCUUCAGAGGAAGAGGUGGCAGAAACACCACCAGAGGAGGCCGAGGCCAACAAGCAUUCACUCCUAGAGGAAGAGGAGGCGGUUACAAUAACCGUGACAAGAGAAAUAUCAAAUGUUAUAGCUGCAAUCAAUUUGGGCACUAUAGCACUGAAUGCCGAUGGAAAGCUCCGUUGGAGAUACGUGAGCAAGCCAACUAUGUAGAGAAGCAUGAUGGAGAAGCAUCUGCAUUUCUUGUCCAACAAGGACAUGGCGAGAAACAAGAGGAGAUAUGGUAUCUAGAUACUGGAGCCAGCAAUCACAUGUGCGGCUACCGAGAGUUAUUUGGUGAUCUAGAUGAGACCAAGCAAGGUCUAGUUACUUUUGGAGAUACCACAAAGGUUCCAUUCAAAGGUAAAGGCAACAUCCCAGUCAAGUUGAAGAAUGGCGAUUCCAGCUACAUCGCCGAUGUGUAUUAUGUCCCAGCCAUAAAGCAGAACCUGAUCAGCUUAGGCAACUUUUGGAGAGAGGAUAUAGUUUUUACUCGAAGAAUUGUCAUCUGACAAUUAGAGACAACAAUGGGAGAUUAAUGGCCUACGUGAAAAUGUCCAAGAAUAGGAUGUUUCCUUUGAACAUCCAGUAUGAUGCAACAAGGUGUUUGAGUGCCAUCACCAACAGUGAAGAAUGGCUUUGGCACCUGAGGCUUGGACAUCUGAAUUUCACGAGUAUGAAGAUGCUAGCAAGCAAGAAGAUGGUCAAAGGUUUGCCUCACAUUGAUCAUCCAGAUGAAGUCUGUGAGAGUUGUGUCCUCAGCAAACAACAGAUCCAGUUUUGCCAAAGAAGUCAACUGGAGAGCAAAGAGGCCACUGGAGUUAGUACACACAGAUGUGUGUGGCCCAAUUACGCCUAUGUCGACUGGACAAAAUAGGUACUUCCUCACUUUUACUGAUGAUUUUAGUAGAAAGACGUGGAUAUACUUUCUGAAGAGGAAGUCAGAAGUAUUCAAUUGUUUUAAAGAUUUUAAAGCAAUUGUGGAGAAGCAAACUGGUUAUACGAUCAGAACAGUGAGAUCUGAUCAAGGUGGAGAAUAUACAGCCAAUGACUUUGAAGCCUAUUGUACACAACAAGGCAUCAGACAUCAGACGACGCCAGCUUAUACACCACAGCUGAACGGUGUAGCAGAAAGGAAGAAUCGCACGAUUCUUGACAUGGCCAGAAGUUUGCUCAAAGCAAAGAAGUUGCCCAAGCAAUACUGGGCUGAAGCUGUAUCAUGUGCAGUGUAUCUGUUGAAUCGCUGCCCAACCAGAAGUUUGCAAGGAGUCACUCCAGAAGAAGCAUGGAGUGGUCACAAACCAAGUGUUACUCAUCUACGAGUCUUUGGUUGUGUGGCAUAUGCAAAGAUCCCAGAUGCAAGAAGGAGAAAGCUCGAUGAUAAGAGCGAGAAAUGCAUCUUUGUCGGAUAUGGUGAAAGAAGGAUGGGAUACAGGCUGUAUAAUCCCAUCACGAAGAAGGUGAUUACGAGUAGAGAUGUUAUCUUUGAAGAAGAUAAAUCUUGGGCAUGGAAUGGUGAUCAAGAAGCAGCCAGAUGGAUCAACACUGAUUUGAUCCUUGAAGGUGAAGAAGUACCAACAGUACUUGUCGAAGAACUGUUUAUACCAGCAGCUGAACCACAAAGUCCGGUGCACAGAUUCCCUGUAUUCAACAGGAGGAACACACCAGGAGCAUCAUCAUCAACACCACCAUCAGCAACCUCGUCAGAAGGACCAAGAAAGAUGCGAAAUCUUGAAGAGUUGUACGAUACCACUCAGGUUAUGGAAGAUACAACUCUGUUUUGUUUUCAUGCAGAUAGUGACCCAUUAAGCUUCAAUAAAGCUGUCACAGAAAAGAAAUGGAUAAAAGCAAUGGAUGAAGAAAUACAUGCCAUUGAGAAGAAAGAUACCUGGAAGCUGACUUAUCCACCAGAAAAGAAGAAAGCAAUAGGUGUCAAAAGGGUUUACAAGAUGAAAGCCAAAUUAGUGGAUAAAGGCUACAAGCAGAGAGAAGGCAUUGAAAGGAGAAGUGUUCAUGCUUGGCAUGACAUCCCUCGAUUGAGUUUAAGGGGGAGAUUUGUUGAAUAAACUCAAUCCAGAAGCUCCUAGAUGGUCAAGGAAGGCAACCACCGCCCAGCCAGCCACCAGCUGCCACCAACCGACCAGCCACCAGCCGCAGCCGCCAGCCGCCAGCCGCCCCAGCCGCCAGCCGCCAGCCGCCCCAGCCGCCAGCCGCCUUCACACUUGAAGAAAGUUUGAAUUUUCGUAUUCUGUUUUUGUGUAUAAAUAGAGUGCCCAGCUUAUGUUAUAUGAGUGGAGAGAAUAGAGAGAAACACUUGAAAGAGAAAGAGAGAGAGAGAGGGCGUGUAUUAAGUUUUAUUUUGUGUUAUUUGUAAGCUUCGGAUUUUGUAAUAAAACCAGUGUGUUUUAUCCCCUCUGAGUGUUUCAAAGCCACCACCAGUGGUUCCUCCCACCAACAGUAAAGAGAAUUCUUAAUUUCCAUUUCUUUGUUUAGUUUUAUGUUGUUUUUAACUCUGGUGUUUACUAGAUAUGCAGCUGCAAAUGUUCCUGGCAAAGCUAUUUAUGCAUUUCGCAUUAUGGAUAAGUUUAGAAUGACCCCCGAUGAAGAAGCAUUUUACUUCCUAUUGAAUGUUCUUUGUAAAAAUGGAAACAUUGAAGAGGCUGAAGAGUUUAUGCUUGUUAACAAGAAAUUCUUCCCAUUGGAGGUCGAGGGAUUUAACAUUAUUCUCAAUGGAUGGUGUCAUAACCCAAUUUUGGAUUAUUCCCUAAAUUUCACUUUUUUUAAAAUAAAAAAAAUAAAAAAUAAAAUAAAGGCUGGCACUGCGGAGAAAGCCAAUAAAAAAAAGACUGCAAAAAUAGGCAAAAAUCGAAGGUCAAAUUAAAUGCAUAUUCGAAGGUCAAAUCAAAUGAUUAUUGGAUGAAUUUGCAUAAAAAUUAAGUCCAAUGACAUAAUUAAAUUUUUAAUGGGCCAAUUUGAUUUAAUCAUGGGUCAAAUUAAAUUUUAAUUAUGUUUGAGAAUAAAUUUAGGUCCAAUUGAAGGAUUUAAUUAAGUGAAAGGACUUGAUUAUACUUUAAAUGGGUCAAAUUAAUUUGGGGGCUUAAUUGGUGAAAAAUUAAGUUUGGGAGCUUAAUUUGGACUGAUUUGAAAAGAUUGAAAUUUUAAGAGACCAAAUUUAAUUUUUACUAAGUGAAUUGAUUGAAAAAAUUGAGGGACCAAUUGUGAGACCCGAAAAAAAUGUCUUGCCUAUAAAUAGCAGCCUACAAAAAUCAGUAAAGGGGGGGGUUCAUUUUUGUAAUUUUGAAAGGAAAGUAAAAACCUAAAAAUCUAAACUUUUCUUCUUCCCUACUAAAAAAGCAGCCGCCAGGGAGACCCCCCCCUCUUUUGGGAAAUUUUUUCCUUCUUCUCCGAUAACAGCUGGAACCUCCCCCUUCGGAUUUUGCUUCUCCCCGGCUUGUUGCUUCCCCAAAACAGCAGCAACAUUGACAAACCAAAGAGCCCCGCUAGUUUUCAUUUUUGGGCUCCCUAAGCCGCUCCCCAGUUUUAAUUUUCUUCCUCCCCAGCCCUUGCACAGCCACCUGCACACAGAGCCGCUCUCACUUCUCCUCCAAAAAAAAGGCUACGGCGAAUCCCCCUUUGCCUUGACAAAGCAAGUCAAGCCAUCACCAUUUCCACAUUUUCUCUCAUCUUCAAAGCCGAAACCAGAGAAGCCAAGGCAGCCCUCUUCCCGUCUCCUUAGUCUUCCUCUCGGCUAAAAAGCCAAAAUCAGCUGAAACCCCACACAUCCAUCUCCUUUCCUGCGAACCAACCUCCCUUUACUUCCCCAUCAUCUCUCCAUCAACGCCGGUUUCCACCAGCUGAUCUUCCCUCUUCAACCGCAGGCGCCAUCGCUUAUUUGCCCUCUGAUCGGACAGCCUCCAGCUCCCCUUGGCCACCACAGCCAUGAAAUCGCAGGAGCUCCCCAUUCCAGCUUCCCACCGACACCCCUGAAAGCAUCGGCCAGCAGGUUUUUCCUUCCUCAGCCGCCGUGCACACUAGCCAGCAGCCGUCCUUCUUCCUCCAGCGGUGCCCACAGUCGCUCCCCAUGCCUCUAGCAGCGACGCCCCUCUGGUUCGGGUCCUCUUCCUUGCCGGCGAUUUGAAACGGAGAAGAAAGAGAAGCCCAAACAACCGGAUCUGUGGGAUGCAGAUAUGAAAAAACCGAGAAGAAAAGGGGACAGCUUGCUGUUGUGUUUUGUUCUUUUUGCAGGUGAUAGUGGUUAUCAUUACCGGUGCAGGGAGACGACGCUGAGCAGAUCCACCCCGUCUCCUGUUUCUGCUUGCGGCGGCGCGUGAACCCACGCGCCGCCACUGUUCAGCAGUUCCGGCAGUGUCCUUCAAUGCAAUUUCUGGACUUUUAGGGACUGUUUUUGUAAAAUUUAAAUUAAUUAAUGUAAUUUGUAUUUAUUUGUUUUGAAUUUAUUUUGUGUAAAUGUGAAUGUAAAAGAAAAGAAAAAAAGAAAUAAUAAUAAAAAAGAGAUGUGUGUGUUUGUAUUUUUUUUAUGUAAUUGAAUAAAAAAAAUGCAUGUGUACAUUUGUUUAAUGAAAUUUUUUUUUCUCUUUGAUGAGACAGCAGAUAAUAAAGAAGGAUUUAAUAUUUUGAUUGGAUCACGGUGUAGAAGUACAAACUUGUACGGAAGUUGUAUUUCUAAAAUCCGAUGAAAAAACAAAAUUUUUAAAACUUCUUUAACACAUCAAGUCCACGGAGCAGCUUACCUCAGGUAGGGUGUGUUAGGGGUGCUAACACCUUCCCUAACCACAAUCAGUCCCUUACCCGCGAAUCUCUGACCAUGACCAGUCCACCAGGGUUUCCUAGUAACCUCAAUUAAAUACUAGGUGGCGACUCCUAACAAACCAAUUCAAGCAAUACAACAACGAGACAUAAAUCGCCAGCCGAUUGCACGCGCGUGGAUUUUUCGACGUGCGACAGAAUGGCGACUCCACUGGGGAGGUAUUGUUUCUGAUAAUUUUGGACUAAGCUUUGUGUACUUGAUGUGUUUAAUUUUUGCCAUUUUUGUCUUGCUUUAUUUUAUGCAUGCAUUUUUAGAAUUGUUUCAUGCAUCACUUGUAUUUAUUUUUGAAAGCACACACAAGCUUUCUAUGUUAGGUGGGGAGUAGCAGUCUACCUCAUGACUUUCAGUCGGGGUUCAGAUUUGUGAAACAUCCAACUAUGAGCUGAGUGUUUACUCGGUAAUGGCGGUCACAUGGUGCCCCAACCAUUCCUUGUAAACCCCUAUACUGCCUUCACGUGAGGUGGUCACUGGGCAGUUCAUAGACCCUUUUGAGACCAGGUAGAAAACCUACCCAUGUUCACACAAUGACUAGAACCUAUCCUUAGGUUGUAUGUGCUAUCAUUUAUUUGCAUCGGGGUGAACCCUUCUUGAAGCAUCUUGAACUCAAGAUUUUUGGGUGACACAAUGGCCGUCACUCCGAAAAUUUUCAUUGUAGAGUUUGGGCAAAAAUCAUGAUUUUUGUUCCAUCAUACAUGAGUUACGACCAUGUUGUCACCCCUCGAAGGGCGAGUUCAUCAUAUAGACUUCAUGUUCAUACAUUUGUCAUGCAUGCACCAGAAUAAAAAGUAGGUCCCCUUCGAGUCUACAACACCUGAUUUUGAGAGAAACAUUGGAGACGAAGAGCGUGCUCAUCGCAGAAUCCAUUUCCAAGAAGAGUUAGAGUCUCUGAAAGCAAGUGUGGCUUGCCUCACUAGCUUACUUGAGCAAACACUUAGAAAUGCCUCUAGUGAAGGUCCUUCCAAUUGGCCAGUCAUUUUUGUUCGCAGCCCCAACAAAGACUCAACAUGAAGAAAUUGGGGGCCCACAUGAUCAAGAGCCUCAACACAAUUUGAAGGUGAAUUGCAUCAUCGUUGUAGAAUGGAGCCUGUUCUUGCUCUGCCAAAAUAACUACCUCAGUUUGAUCAUGCCUCCAAAAACUUGAUUUUUUGUUUCAACCUAUUCUAGUUUUUGUUGGUAAUUUGGCUCAAAAUUCCACAAGACUUUCCCUGUUCACUAAGCCUUUAUCAUGUGUUUUGUUGUGUUCAUCACAUGCCAUCAUUUUUGUUGUUUCAUGCAAAUAACACAUUGAGCGUAACCUUUAAGCAUGAAACCACCGCGCCCAAAAUCUUGUGGUGCGUUUCCUCUUUUCUUCCCAAAAACAAAACAGGACCCCAUGUUUUCAUAAGGAUUUUUGGGAAUUCAAAGUUUAGUACAAAAACAGAAAUCAUGUUGAUGUUUGUUUGAAACGAAUGAGUUCUGGAAAUUCAGGUGAUUUCUUAGAGAGGUAACCAUACACCUAGAAAACCCAAAAAAAAAAAAAACACCAUGAAGUGACUUCAAAAGCUGAGUUUUAUUUGCAUGAAUAAGAAAUCACUCUGCAUACUCGCAUGAAAGCAAGGCUUACCGAUCCUAAAUGCGUGCAUUUGAGAUGAAGAAAGGCCAUCUUUGAUAAUCCUUUCACAAGGCUGAAAUAUAUCAUUUGCAGUCCCCUUUUGAGCCUAAUAAAUUUUUCUUAAAAAAUAACCUUGGCUAGGAUCAUACCCUACACUGGGGGGCAAGUGCAAAAAAAAAAUCCAUAAUGAUUGAAAGUGCCCAAAUAUCUCUUGGGGGCAUGAAAAAGUCUUCAACAAUGAAAGUGCCCAAACAAUACUAGAGGGCAUAAAAGAAAAUUUUCAAUCAUCAAAGGUGCCCGUACAAAGCUAGGGGGCAUAAAAAAAAUCUAAAUGAUCCAAAAUUCUGAGCAUAAAAAAAAGAAAGAAGAAGCUAAUUAAAUGAUGCUCAAAAUCAAAUGAAGAAAACAAAAACAAAGAGAAAGAGCCCGAGCCCAACACUAGGGGGCACCGUGGAUCAUUUUUACAAAUCAAUUCCAAGGUCCAGAAAUAUAUGAACAAAAGAGUUUGGGAUAUAAGCACUUGUGAUCCUUAGUCUUAAAGUCCCUUAAACACCUUUUGAGCCUAUAAAUAUCCUUUUCUUCAUAGCCAAUAGCCCAAGCCUACAUUACGUGCCUAAUCAAGCCCUUUCUGAUCAAAGGCAAGCAAUCUGGAUCGGUAGGCAGUGCUUUCUCAUGCGAAAUAAAAUCAUUAUUCAUGCAAAUAAAAUUAAUGCUUUGAAAAUGGUUCUCAAUAACCCUCAAAUUGAAAUUUAAACCUUUUGUGACCAACCAGAUGUCACUUCAUGUUCAUCAUAUUUUCGCCAACGGUUCUCAAUAACCCACAAAUUGAAAUUUCAACCUUUUGUGACCAACCAAAUGUCACUUCAUAUUUUUCACCAAAAAAAAAAAGUUUUCAUCACUUCUGAAAACCUCUCCAUAGGAAUCACUUGAAUUUCUUCAGAAUGAGUUCGUGUUGAAUCGAUGUCAAAAUGAUUUCUGUGUGUGGAAUAGCUUUGAAAUUCCAAAAAUUCUGCAUGAAAACAACUCCUUGUCAAACCUUCCUUCACAUAGCCUCAUCCCCAAACCCGAAUUGAAUGCUUGGGGGCAUGAUCAAGCUAGGGGGCAAUCAAAAACAUCUGGUAAAGCUGGCUCCGUGAUUCCCUUUCUAAGAAACAAUGGGGAAAAAUUAGCAACCCUUGAGAUAAAAAGGGCGGAGAACAAAGAAAUGAUGGCAUCAAGUCUUUCCUAGAGGCCAAGAUCGUAAGAUAUUUCUUGAGUAAGCAAGGGGGACAAAAGCCAUCAAAGCUUACUAUCAGAGACUUAAACUUUUAAGAAAAGGAGAACUCCAUGAAGAAAAGGGGACCUAUAUUUCUCAGGUAAGUAUACAUGCAUAUUGUUCAUGAUGCAUUGCUUUCAUCCUUGACAGAUCGGUGUCUCACCAUCACCUCUUUUUGAGCGGGUUGCUGGAUCCUAACCUUUUAGGUUGUGUGUUUUCCAACCCUACCUCCUUAUGAGGGCGUCUUUUAGCCCUCACCCCUUGGGUAAUGUGUUUUCUAACCAUACCUCCUUUUGAAUGUGCUUUAGAGCCUCCAGCCAUCUUAGGUAGUGUGUUUUCUGACCCUACCUCUCCUUUUAAGGGCGCCUUUGAGCCCUCACCACUUUAGGUAGUGCGUUUUCAAACCUUACCUCCUUUCGAAUAUAUCGUCGAUACCUCACCUCUCGGGUAGUGUGUUUUUCAACCCUACCUCCUUUAGAGUGCGCCUUCGAGCCCUAACCUCUUAGGUAGUGUGUUUUCCAAACCCUGCCUCUCUUUUUGAGAGCUCCUUCGAGCCCUCACCUCUUGUGUAAUGUGUUUUCCAAUCUUACCUCCUUUUUUAGUACGCCUUCGAGCCUUAACCCUUUAGGUAGUGCGUUUUCCAACCCUGCCUCUUUUUUAGCGCGCCUUCGAGCUAACAACCCCUUUAGGUAGUGUGUUUUAUGACCCUACCUCCCCUUUUGAGUGCGCCUUAGAGCCUUCAACCACUUUAGGUAGUGCGUUUCCCAACCUUACCUCCUUUCGUAUGCUCCUUCGAGCCCUCACCACUUUAGGUAGUGAGUUUUCCAACCCUACCUCCUUUUGAAUGCUCCUUUGAACCCUUACCCCUCAGGUAGUGCGUUUUCCCAACCUUGCCUCCUUUUGAGAGCUCCUUCGAGCCCUCACCUCUUGUGUGGUGUGCUUUCUAGCCCUUUUUGCCUUCUUUAGAGUGCGCCUUGGAGCACUCACCUCUUAGGUAGUGUGUUUUUCGAACCCUAUCUCCUUUCGAGUGCGCUCUUCAGCCCUCGUUCCCCAUCGAGUCCUAUCAUGUCGUCCCUUUGAGACAUUUUGCCUUUUCACCCGGGCAGGUCACCCAUUAUAAUCAGACUUCUUUCAAAACUCUUUUCAUCUUCCAUUUGGGCCGGUUGCCCAUAACAAUAAAACCACUUUGAAAAAUCUCUGCAUUUUUCACCACCUUGAAAAAUCUUUACAUUUUUCACCAAUUUUGAGAAAUCCUUGCAUUUCUCCCCACUCUCAAACUUUUUCACUUGGGCCGGUUGCCCAUCACAACAAGACCACUUUGAGAAAUCUUUGCAUUUCUCACCACUUUGAGAAAUCUUUGCAUUUCUCACCACUUUGAAAAAUCUCUGUAUUUUUCACCCCUUUGAAAAAUCUCUGCAUUUUUCACCACUUUGAGAAAUCUUUGUAUUUCUCACCACCUCCAAAAAUUUUCACCAUCUUGAAAAAUCUUUGCAUUUCUCACCUCUUUGAAAAAAUCUUUGUAUUUUUCAAAACCUUUCCAUCGGGCCGGUUGCCCAUUACAAUAAAACCACUUUGAAAAAUCUCUGCAUUUUUCACCACUUUGAGAAAUCUUUGUAUUUCUCACCACUUUGAAAAAUCUUUGCAUUUUUCAUCACUUUCCAUCUAGGCAAGUCGCCCAUCACAACAAGAUCAUUUUUUAGAAAUCUUCGCAUUUCUCACCACUUUGAAAAAUCUCUGCAUUUUUCGCCUCUUUGAAAAAAUCUUUGUAUUUUUCAAAACCUUUCAAUUGGGUCGUUUGCCCAUUACAACAAAACCACUUUGAAAAAUCUUUGCAUUUUUCAUCAUUUUGAGAAAUCUGUGCAUUUCUCACCACCUCUAAAAUUUUUCACCAUCUUGAGAAAUCUUUGCAUUUCUCACCACUUUGAAAAAUCUCUGCAUUUUUCACCUAUUUGAAAAAAUCUUUGUAUUUUUCAAAACCUUUCAUCUGGGCCGGUUGCCCAUAACAAUAAAACCAUUUUUAUAAAUCUUCGUAUUUCUCACCACUUUGAAAAAUCUCUGUAUUUUUCACCAUUUUGAGAAAUCUUCGCAUUUCUCACCACUUUGAAAAAUCUCUGUAUUUUUCACCACUUUAAAACAUCUUCGUGUUUUUCACCCGGGUAGGUCACCCAUGACAAUUCGACCAUUUCAAAAUCUUUGAAAAAAAAAAAAAAAAAAAAAAACAUCUUCCUUUUUUCUUCUUUACAACGCUUACUAUCUAAAGUCCCCUACGAGACUUGCUAUCGUAAGCAUUGUAAAGAGGGGGGCAACUGUCAUAACCCAAUUUUGGAUUAUUCCCUAAAUUUCACUUUUUUUAAAAUAAAAAAAAUAAAAAAUAAAAUAAAGGCUGGCACUGCGGAGAAAGCCAAUAAAAAAAAGACUGCAAAAAUAGGCAAAAAUCGAAGGUCAAAUUAAAUGCAUAUUCGAAGGUCAAAUCAAAUGAUUAUUGGAUGAAUUUGCAUAAAAAUUAAGUCCAAUGACAUAAUUAAAUUUUUAAUGGGCCAAUUUGAUUUAAUCAUGGGUCAAAUUAAAUUUUAAUUAUGUUUGAGAAUAAAUUUAGGUCCAAUUGAAGGAUUUAAUUAAGUGAAAGGACUUGAUUAUACUUUAAAUGGGUCAAAUUAAUUUGGGGGCUUAAUUGGUGAAAAAUUAAGUUUGGGAGCUUAAUUUGGACUGAUUUGAAAAGAUUGAAAUUUUAAGAGACCAAAUUUAAUUUUUACUAAGUGAAUUGAUUGAAAAAAUUGAGGGACCAAUUGUGAGACCCGAAAAAAAUGUCUUGCCUAUAAAUAGCAGCCUACAAAAAUCAGUAAAGGGGGGGGUUCAUUUUUGUAAUUUUGAAAGGAAAGUAAAAACCUAAAAAUCUAAACUUUUCUUCUUCCCUACUAAAAAAGCAGCCGCCAGGGAGACCCCCCCCUCUUUUGGGAAAUUUUUUCCUUCUUCUCCGAUAACAGCUGGAACCUCCCCCUUCGGAUUUUGCUUCUCCCCGGCUUGUUGCUUCCCCAAAACAGCAGCAACAUUGACAAACCAAAGAGCCCCGCUAGUUUUCAUUUUUGGGCUCCCUAAGCCGCUCCCCAGUUUUAAUUUUCUUCCUCCCCAGCCCUUGCACAGCCACCUGCACACAGAGCCGCUCUCACUUCUCCUCCAAAAAAAAGGCUACGGCGAAUCCCCCUUUGCCUUGACAAAGCAAGUCAAGCCAUCACCAUUUCCACAUUUUCUCUCAUCUUCAAAGCCGAAACCAGAGAAGCCAAGGCAGCCCUCUUCCCGUCUCCUUAGUCUUCCUCUCGGCUAAAAAGCCAAAAUCAGCUGAAACCCCACACAUCCAUCUCCUUUCCUGCGAACCAACCUCCCUUUUACUUCCCCAUCAUCUCUCCAUCAACGCCGGUUUCCACCAGCUGAUCUUCCCUCUUCAACCGCAGGCGCCAUCGCUUAUUUGCCCUCUGAUCGGACAGCCUCCAGCUCCCCUUGGCCACCACAGCCAUGAAAUCGCAGGAGCUCCCCAUUCCAGCUUCCACCGACACCCCUGAAAGCAUCGGCCAGCAGGUUUUUCCUUCCUCAGCCGCCGUGCACACUAGCCAGCAGCCGUCCUUCUUCCUCCAGCGGUGCCCACAGUCGCUCCCCAUGCCUCUAGCAGCGACGCCCCUCUGGUUCGGGUCCUCUUCCUUGCCGGCGAUUUGAAACGGAGAAGAAAGAGAAGCCCAAACAACCGGAUCUGUGGGAUGCAGAUAUGAAAAAACCGAGAAGAAAAGGGACAGCUUGCUGUUGUGUUUUGUUCUUUUUGCAGGUGAUAGUGGUUAUCAUUACCGGUGCAGGGAGACGACGCUGAGCAGAUCCACCCCGUCUCCUGUUUCUGCUUGCGGCGGCGCGUGAACCCACGCGCCGCCACUGUUCAGCAGUUCCGGCAGUGUCCUUCAAUGCAAUUUCUGGACUUUUAGGGACUGUUUUUGUAAAAUUUAAAUUAAUUAAUGUAAUUUGUAUUAUUUGUUUUGAAUUUAUUUUGUGUAAAUGUGAAUGUAAAAGAAAAGAAAAAAGAAAUAAUAAUAAAAAAGAGAUGUGUGUGUUUGUAUUUUUUUUAUGUAAUUGAAUAAAAAAAAUGCAUGUGUACAUUUGUUUAAUGAAAUUUUUUUUUCUCUUUGAUGAGACAGCAGAUAAUAAAGAAGGAUUUAAUAUUUUGAUUGGAUCACGGUGUAGAAGUACAAACUUGUACGGAAGUUGUAUUUCUAAAAUCCGAUGAAAAAACAAAAUUUUUAAAACUUCUUUAACACAUCAAGUCCACGGAGCAGCUUACCUCAGGUAGGGUGUGUUAGGGGUGCUAACACCUUCCCUAACCACAAUCAGUCCCUUACCCGCGAAUCUCUGACCAUGACCAGUCCACCAGGGUUUCCUAGUAACCUCAAUUAAAUACUAGGUGGCGACUCCUAACAAACCAAUUCAAGCAAUACAACAACGAGACAUAAAUCGCCAGCCGAUUGCACCCGUGUGGAUUUUUCGACGUGCGACAGAUGGUGUAAUAUAUGUGUUGAUGUAUUUGAAGCAAAGCGAAUUUGGAGGGAAAUGUCAAAAUAUUGUAUUGACCCUGAUGCAACUACUUAUACACACAUGAUUUCUUGCUUUUCAAAGGUUGGGAAUCUUUUUGAUUCACUGAGACUUUAUGACGGGAUGAAAAAAAGAGGUUGGGUCCCGGGCAUUGAGGUUUAUAAUUAUUUGGUUUACGUAUUAACUCGUGAGAAUUGCUUGAAGGAAGCUCUCAAAAUUCUUGACAAAAUGAAAGAAACAGGGUUGCAGCGAGAUUCUGCUACUUACAAUUCGAUGAUUCGUCCUUUGUGUGAGGCAAAAAAGCUAGAGGAUGCUAGAAGUUUAAUGGCUGCCAUGAUAGAGGAGAACGUCAGCCCAACAAUAGAAACCUACCAUGCAUUUCUUCAGGGUAUUGUUUUUGAAGAAACUUUUGAAGUCCUUGAUCGAAUGAAGAUAGCUGGUUUAGGUCCCACUGAAGAUACCUUUCUCUUCUUGCAAAGUUCUUCAAACUAGAGCAACCUGAGAAUGCAUUAAAGAUAUGGGUGGAAAUGAAGCAGUAUGAAGUGGCUUCCAAUUUGACACAUUAUACAGUAAUGGUGGAAGGACUAGCAAGGUGUGGUUUAUUAACCAAGGCUCGAGAAUACUAUGCUGAGAUGAGGUCAAAUGGAUAUUCAGAUGAUCCAAAGAUUCAGAAAAUGUUGAAAGUGCCAGUUCAAGACAAGAGUGACAAGAGAAACAAGCUGGGAGGGCAAUUUAAGAGAAAUCAACAUGUGAGUCACAAGAAAGGCAGUAUGGUCAGACGGAAAAGUCAUUGACACCAGUUGAGAAAAAUACCGGGAUAUUGAUCUCAGAAAUCAUAGAUGAGAAAAAUUCUUUUCACCAGAUAUCAAUCUCUCAUUUUAUUGCAAGAGGUUUUAUUUCAGAGACCCUUGCAGUAUACACGCAGGUAAUGUUGCCAAGUACCCAUUCUGGCUUGUGAUGUCGUUCCUGAUAAUUCUUAUAGAUUUCUUUGAUAACUCUUCAGUGUGGAUCUAGUUUGGGAAUUGUCUACAUCAUGGGAGAGUUCUCUUGCUUCUUUGUAAUUCAUAUCUCUCAGAUUGCAUAGAAAAAGCCUUAACAAAUGUCUGAUGAGGCUCAGAUUAAUCCCCACAUUUUCCAGUUAUAUAAUAAAUGUAGGAAAAGCCUUGACAAAUUUGAGAUAAAAGGGCUGUCUUGCUGAAUGUGACUGGAAUCAAGCGGGUACAAGUGAUGAUAAAUUUUUUCCCUAUGAGGGUAGGUGGAGGAGAAAGAAUUUGAAUUCACUAUUUGUUGAAUUAUAGAUCCUUGAGGAUUUCAGCAAAGAGGGACGGAGGUUUUCUCCAUGGUGAAUUUGUUUUUGACAAAUGCAUUGGUUACAAAACUUCUGAGGUUGUAAGCUUUAAUUACUUCGAUGCCAUCUAUAUUUCUUUCUUAUAUGUCUUCAGUUGAAUAUGUGAUUUGUUUCUUCAGUUGAAUUUGUGAUUCUUUGUAAAAAUAUCGGGGUUAGAAUGCUUGAUAGUUAUUUAACCUUUUGAAUUGAAAUAUUGCUGCUCUUAGUUGAUCAUAUUUAACUGCAUAUGCUGAAAUUUCAACCAUCUGGGAAUGACCUGCAAAUUUUUGGGAAAUUUAUGAUGUGGAAAAACCUUGGAUUAGGCUCGAUGCAAUGACAAUAGUAAUAAUACUUGUGCUCUGUUUACUAACAACAGGUAAAAAUUCUGUUUUCCCCAACUGAUUGUCUAUAGUUAUUCCCUACCUUUAAUUCAUCCUUUCAUACUUAUGUGAAAGGUAGCUUUGACGAGGCCCAAAUUCUCAAGUAGGAGGGGGCAUCUCUGCAUGACUGGUUUCAAUCCUUGGAGGAGCAAAAUCUCAAGCACCUUCUCUUAUGUGAAAGGUAAUCUAGCCAGCAUUUCUUAAGAAUAAUACCGAGACAAUAUGUACUAUAUUUUUCCUUUGUUGCCUGUAAAUAUCGUGUCUGUGGUCCACGGCAUGUGCCUAGUGUGUCUCCGUCUUUAUUAGCUGGUAGAACAGGUAGAGUGAAUCAGGUUCCGGACAUACUCUUAAAACGUUUUCCAGGCAAUCAAAGUUCAUGUAUUAAGUACCUCCUCUUGUCAUUGUGAGGAGCAUUAGAGAUGUAAUGACAUCCUGAACCAUGUCUAUUGUGUUUGUAAACAUACAAAACCGAUUGCUGAAAUGUUUCUUCUCUAGCUUUUAGCUUGUCUUGAAACUCUCAUCUAUUUUUCCCUUUCCAAGAUUCACUUGCAGACAGACAGAUCCACUGGGACCAUUCCAAUGAACUUAACCUUACCUAAGGAAGGAGGGAAAAAGAAAGCUCCAUGCAUUCCAUGGUUAUAAAACCUGGCUUGAGGUCGACUCAAUAAUCUGCUGAUUUAUAACCUAGCUCAGGUCAGAUUUUAUUUUGAACAUGUUUAGAAAUUGAUCUGAUUACACUUAAUUUUACCUGGAUAAACUCCACUGACUUGAUUGACAUGAUCAGGUCAACUUCAAAUUGUUUUUUCCAAAAUAGUUUCUUGACUAGAAUCUUCAACCAGAUGAAACCCUAGACUAUAACUACCAUGCAUUCGCAAUUUCAAAUAUAGUCGCCAACGGCUGCCUACCCAUUUCUGUUUUUAAUUUACUUGUCCGUUGGACAUGGACAUUUUGUCUUGAGCUGAAGAAACUGGACCAUGUAACUAGAACACUAGAGGCACGCCUACGAAAGCAAUUGCGGUUUCUUUUUAAAAAUCAAGCGCAGCAUCAGUUUUAAUGCAAUGAUAACUUGUUUCAAAUGACUUUAGUUAUUAUUAAAUUAAUUAUAAACUAUAAACUAAAUUAAAUUUUCCAAGAGAUUGUUGUUGUUCUGCAAUCCAAUUAUUCAAUAAAAAAAACUUAUUUCAUAUAAAAAAACAAGAAAAGUAUAGGCAUGGCAGCAUAAUCAUUGACUGUGAUAAUGCAAACGGUAAUGUGAUGCAUGCCUGAAUCACUUUCAAAUUUUUUCUUGGAUCUUAUAAAAGAGGAUUGCCCUAGUCAAGUGUAUUAAAAAAGGUGCUCUUUGUCAUCCUCACUCACUAACUCUUUACUGUCCAAGAAAAGAAAGUAGCCGAGAACCAAACAAGUCACUGUGAAAUGGUGUCCAGGCUCAUCUUCUUUUGCUUCUUCAUCCUCUUCUCCGCCAUUGCUACCACCGCUACUGACCACAUUGUUGGUGCUAAUAAAGGCUGGAACCCUGGAAUCAACUAUACUCACUGGGCGAACAACCACACCUUCUAUGUUGGUGACCUUAUCUGUAAGCCUCCCCCUCUCCUUAAUUAGCUCUAUCUAUACAUCAAGUCUGUUUAUAAACAUCAGUUUGAGUUUAGCCAGAAGAUCAAAACCCAGUUCCCAUUUAUAAUUGAAGUGUUUGCUUUGGCUUUGUCAAUGUAGCUUUUAGGUACCAAAAGACACAGUACAAUGUCUUUGAAGUGAACCAGACUGGUUAUGACAACUGUACAACAGAAGGAGCAGUAGGCAACUGGACCAGUGGCAAAGACUUCAUACCUCUUAACAAGGCCAAGAGAUACUACUUCAUUGGUGGGAAUGGGCAGUGUUUCAAUGGCAUGAAGGUUACUAUUCUUGUUCACCCUUUGCCAACACCACCAACAUCUGCUACCAUGGCUGCUGACGUGAAAUCCUCAGAUUCUGCAGCUCCAUUGGUUUUCCAUAAGGGGUUGGUGGGCUUGAGGGCUUUGGUUUUGGCAGUUGCUUCAAUUUGGUUUGGAUCUGGUUGGAUCUAGUAGCUAGAUGGUUAGUGAUUUAAUUUGCUGGUUGAAAAGCUCAUUGGAACUGUAUUAAUUCUGGUUUUCCCCCUAUCAUUGCUCAAAUUUUCUUGCAUUCUCUUUCUGGAUGUUAUAUUAUCUAGAUUUCUUGAAAAAUCUGAAUCUUUCUUUCUUUUUUGGCCACCUUUUUACUCUUUUCUUUCGUUUUGGAUGAGAACAACUGAACAAGUACCACAGCUAGAUUCUAACCUCUUUUUUUUUUAAAUCAUGUGUUGAGAAUUCGAUUCUGGAUCAUGUUCUACCAGGUGCCUCAACUUUGCUUAUGUGCCAAUAUUAGUUUAGUGUGCCUGUCAGCGACGUACACUGCAGGCCGUGCCAAAGUUUUUCACUUUUUUCAGCCCAAAAAAACAUGUUUAGGGUAUGAUUAUGUUUUCGAAGAAAUUUUAAAAAUUGAUAAUAUGAUAAAAAAAAAAUAUGGCAAUAAUAACAACAAAUAAAUUUAAAAAAUAAUGUUUGUUUUGGGUAAAGCUGGGUUAACAUGUAAAACUCGUGGUCUAAUGUAUAAGAUUAUGAUAAUCCUAUAGAAGGAUAGUAUCUACAAAAAUUAACUAUAAGAAAGCACUUGAAUAAAAAUCUAAAACAACCCUGUCCAAUCUUCUAAACUUGUGACACGAAAGGUUAAUAAAAUCUCGAUUAAUUAAAUUUUGAGAAAUGAAAUCGAAAAAGAAAGUCCAGCAAAAACAAGAUUAAAAACAAAAUAAAUGGCAAUUAAGAGAAUAAAAAUUAAAUUUAACGUAAAAUCAAAUAAAUUGAAAUAUUAAGAGAUGUAAUUGAAGAAAUUAUUCAAUUAAGAGAAUAAUAAAAAAAAUCAUAAUAAAAUUAUCUAAUUAAGGGAGAAAUCCUCCAAGGGCAUAAUAGUAAAUUUACUAUGAAAAUAAAAACAAAAAAACUAUUAUACCCUCACUUCCAAGUUUAUUUGUGUUAUGUUUAAAAAAGAAAAAAAAAAUUAUUUUAUUAUUUCAAUUCAUAAUGACACUAAGUCUAUACCUUUUAGUUUUUUCUUUAAUUGUAUAAUGUGUUAUGAUUUCCAUUUAUUAGUAUUUUAUAGAUACAGAGUAAUACUUUAAUUAUCUAGAAAAACCGAGUUAGGGAAAAAAACAAGAACUUUCUAUUCAAAUGCAAUGUUUCUCCAUUUAAAAUAUAUACUAGAAAAAUAGUUUUUUCGUUUUUCAAAUUUAUAUCGAGCUUGAAAAACAUAUUUUAGAAGUUCUUUAUAGUUUUUAUUAUAAAUCUAAUAUAAUUUUUUUUAGUUAAUAACAUAAUUUUUCCAUGAUACUUUUGAAUUUGAAUAAAAUAAAAUCAAUAUUCUAUGAUUAGAUUAUUUGUGAUGAUUAUUAUAAAUUAUGGUAUGAUUUUUAUAAAAACAGUUAUAAUCUUGAUAUACUUGUAAUUUUUUGAUGUAAAAAGAAAAAUUGUCUUUGUUUUCAACAAAUAAAUGUGUUUUUUAAUAUUUUAUUGAAAAAAAAAACUGAAAAAGGGAAACAAAAACAAAAAAGAAAAUGUAAAUCUUCAAAAACAAAAUUCAGAAAGUAGACCUAUUAUUAGACAUUGGCUAUAAAGUUAGCAUCAUGGGUAGUAGCUAAACUUUAACGGGAUCGAAGUGGAACAUUUUUGGAUUUAUGAGAGUUAAAAUAUAGCUUAUAUAUCCUAAAUACUGGGAAAAAAAAAUCCUCAUUUUCUCAUAAUAUAUUAUCAAAUGGAAACAUUCUUAUUUACCAUUACUAAUUCUCCUGAUUUCCAUGCCAUGCACGGGCAAAUAAAUAAUCGAUAUAUUCAUCAUUACGUACCAUCAUAAUCCUAAAAUGAUUAUUAGCCACUGGUCCAACUUUCGAUUAAAUUCACCCCUAUAUUUUAUCAUUAAAUGUUAUAUGUUGAGACAAGUCCUUGUAUAGAGCUCCAGGAGGCCUAAAAUGUCCAUUCGUUCUCCUUGUAUACAUCCUCCGAGAAAAAGAAAGAAAAAAGGAUAAUGGAGCCGGGAAGGGUUAGCUCUUUCUCUCUCUUUCUGUUUUUUUUGUUUUUGUCAAUUAUAAAAACUUAAGUUAGCUUACAUGUAUUUCAAUUAAUUCUUCAAGAUUCUAAAGUUAAUAAUCAUGUAAUUCUUCAAUAAUUCUAAGAUUUAUAAUACUCAAACUGAUAAUUUCUAGAGAACAAACACAAAAAUUAACAAGCUGAACCUUCUAAUUAGCUCUGUUUUGAUAGCUGCGGUGGCGGUGGGAUUGCUAGCAGGGCAGUCCACAGCCUCCUUUUUUGUUAUUACAUGAGCUGCUGAUUGUUUCAGGCAAUGCCAUCAGAAGUCCGGGCCCCUGGAUAGCAAUUGGAUCACAAAGCCGUUCUUUCUGCAGCCUUGUUUGUGCUUUAUCUUCAUGCUCUCGCAUCAGCUCCAUAGAUAACCCUCGUAGUUCUCUUCUCUUAACCUACAGAUGUAACUAAGAGAAAGCAGGAAAACGUUUGUUAACAAAUCACACGAGCAAAAUUUAAUUAGUUUUCUUCGUUUCAUGUCAUUGAUUAUAAGUCCAUACCAUGCUAUUAACUCAAUAAAUAAAGAAAUCUACUAAUCAAGAUCCAUUAUUUCUCUUAAAAUUAAAUUAUUUUUUAAAAUUGUUCAUACAAAAAAUGAAAUUAUAAGAUCUUUUUUUAUAUAUAAUAAUAAGAUUAUAGAAUCCUCUACGAUGUGAUUAUUACUCAUGGAUUGUUUGUGGUGGGAUUAUCAUUUUAAGUGACAGACACACUAUUAAAAAUAAAAAAUACAGAGAUCAUCACUAAAAGUAAAAAACACAACAACAAAAACAUGAACUUGUUGCUUUAAUUUGCUUUCUUGUUUUUGUUUUUUUUUUAUAUUUUUACUGUAUAGGAUUGCACCCCACGACAAAUAUAAAAUCAAAAGCAAAAACAAAAACAAUCUAAACUCCAUGAGUUUGGGUCCAUGAAUGUUCUCAUGAACAUAAUAUUUGCUUAAAUUAACAAGGAGAAGUCUUGUUGAAAUUGUCGCACGUGUGCGGCGGCGCGGCGAUCGUCCACCCUCAAAGAAAAAUCGAAAUAUUUAUUCAUGGAAAAUAGGGAGAGAGACAAGGAAUUCUUGUCUCUACAAGUGAAAAAAUUGGAAUGGGAGUCGCCUCCUAGUAUUCUGGUUACUAGGAACCUUAACUGGUCUUUAGAGAUCGGGUACGGAGACUGGUUGCGUAAAGGGAAGGUAUUAGCACCCCAACUACGCCCUACCUAAGGUAGGCUGCAUUGUUUUAAUGUCUGAUAAAAUCUAAAAUCGUGUGGUUUUUGAAUUGUUGGUUCGUUUACGGUUUAAGAAAAGUCCUCCUCCGUAAGGAGAUCCUUAUCUUUAUCGGGUAAAAAACUAACUAUUCGAAGUCGUCAAAAGAAAAUAUCUUUUUAAUAUCAGGAAUACGAUUUACGUAUAAAUUCAUAAUCCUUGAUACUAAAAUUAAACAAAAUAAAAUAUUUUGUUGUUUUUGAGAUUUUGGCCAAUGUUCUCUUGACUUUAAUAAACUGGUUAUUAAAGCCAAAAUGCAUGCUAAAAUAUUGUUUUUUGACAUAUGAAAAAUACGAUAUGAUAUUUUAGAUUUGAGACACUUGGCCGUAUGCACAAAAAUGUUUUUUUUUAAUUUUUUGUAUUUUUGAAGUUUGUGACAAAAAAACCGGGUAUUUUAAUACCCGAUUUGUAUUUUUACGACAUAAAAAUACUACCCGAUAUUAAUAAAAAUAACAUAAAUAAAAAAUGGGAACAUCAUAAAUAUUUUUUAAAACAAUAAUAUUUUUUCUUUUUUUAUGGGCCGGAUCAGGCCCAAUUGCAUGGGCUGGGCCAAACCUGGCCCUUUUACAUGGGCUGGGCCGAACAUGGCCCAAAUGCAUGGGCUGGUUACUGUGCACAUAGUAACCGGGUUACUGUGUGCACAGUAACCAGAGAAUUAAUUAGCGUGCAUAGUAACCGGGUUACUGUGCACACAGUAACCCGUGAAUUAAUUAGCCAGUUACUGUGCACAGCACAGUAACUAGCUAAUUAAUCUUCAUCUGCUGCAGAACGUAAACGUUCUGCAUGCAGAUGAAGCCGAAGCCGAAGCAAAAAAAAUGACAGUGGAGAAAGUUACCUGGAACGGUGUUGAUGCUGGCAGCAGCUGAUGCGGCAGGGGUGGGGUGGCGGUGCUGGCGGUUCGCGGUGGCCGGCGGUUUUCCUUCUCUCUCUCUCUCCUCUGUAUUUUUCUGUUUUCUCCUCUGCUGCUCCUUCUUCUUCUGUGUUCUCCCUUCUCUCUCUUUUCCCCUCUCUUUGCUCUCCCUUCUCUUCUCUUCCCCCUCUCUCGGUCUUUUUUUUUUUUUUUUUUUCGGCCCUCCAUUUAUAGGAAAACAGGGGAGGGCAACGUGCUGGGGCGACCACUGUUGGCCGCCCCCUCCACUACCUUUCAACAGAUAAAAAGCCAGGCAAGUGGGUGAAUUGUGGGCGUCUUAUUGCGCCAAAGCCGGGAAAGAAAGUAGGCGAAAAGAGAAGAAAAAAAAAUUCUUCUUCCCCUGCUUCGCUGCGUGUCCAGGGGAAGAAGAUGAUGGUGCCGUUCAAAACGGCACCGUUUUGGGUUUUUUUUUUUUUUUUUUUUUAAACAGUGCAUGAAACGGCGGUUUCAUUUAAAUGGAUUUGGCGCCAAAACGCGUCAGAUUCAAAUUUCGGCCCUCCAUUUGCGCGCGUUUUACAAUUUAGUCCUUGGUCUCGGAUUUCUUCAAUUCAGUCCCUAAUUGGCCAUUAAACCUCAAUAUUUAUGCAAUUAAGCCCCUGAUUUGACCAAAUUAACUUCCAAAAAUUAUAAUUUGACCCUAGAAAAUUAAUUUCUCCUAAUUAAAGCCCAAAUUAACUCCAAAAUCAAUUUUUCUUGCAAUUAAAAUCUUCAUAAAUGCAAUAAACCUUUAAUAAAAUUUCAUUGAGUCCAUAAACUUCUGAUUUUGCAUUUUUCUUCCACAAAUUGAAUUUUCUUUAUCAUCGGGGCUCUCAUCAGUCAAUGAUAUACUGUCAAAAAUUAAUUUUUGAUUUUUGAACAUCCUCAAUCAAUUUUUGAGCAUUUCUAGGGCGCUCUGGUAUUUUUUCACUAUUAUAUAUUUUUUGAUAAUAUAUUUUUUGAAUUUUAUUAUUUUUUAUGUGGGGACCAAAAAAUGGGUUACAACAGAAAUAAUAUACUUUUAUAAGUUUUUAGCACUUUAAUUAUGUGAAGUCUCGCUUAAAUCAACCAUGCAUUAAUUAACGUUUCCUUAAUUGAUAGCAUUUAGAUCGGGGAGGGGGGGGGAUCGAAUUUCACUGGUUUAAGGAAAGUAGCACUACAAAAACACCAUCUUAUUAUCGUCGCUAAAAGUCCCCACCCCUUGCUAAAACUGUCGCAAAAGGGUCGAAUACAGAUGCUCGAGUUGAUUUAGUGACAGAAAACCCCGAAAUGGGGGAUUUUCUCACGACUACGUUGAAGGCUGUGGUUUUGACUAUAGCGACACUCUUUUGUGUCGCGAAAAAUGCUCAUCUUUUGAAAAUAAUUCAUUUUCAAUUCUCAAAUUCAGAUUUGGAUGCUGCAAAAGAAUUUUAUAAAUAUGUAUAAACUUUCCAGAUUUCGGAAUCAACAUGAAGGCAUACAAUAUGAAAUCAUAAAAUCAUCACAAUUUCUUUAAAAGGCCAUACAAAAUAAGAAAUACCUUGUGAAUGUGCAAAAUACAUAAUAUUCAGGAGAUCAAAAGCAAUAAACCUCCAUGAAUCCAUCAGCACAAAAUACAAAAAUAUUCAAAGUACAUUAAUUGCAAUGGAACUUACUAGUUCGAUCAUACAAAGAGAAAACCAUGCAAAGUAUUUAAAUCAUAAGUACUUUGUCACCACCAUCUUUCAUUCUCCUCUCAUACUGAAAAUUGCAUUAAUUAAAUCACGAAAAGGGUAGAGGUGAAACUAAAAUAAUAAAAAUGAACAAAUUUAUAAUAGCAAAAAGAGUGAGGGAAGCCUUAAAAGACUAGUCUUUGCAUCAAGUUAAAGGACCAGCAAACACGAAGAAAAAUUCACCGAUGCUUAGGGUACUGGCUUGACAAUAAUUGAGCAUGUGAAUUCCUUUUCCUCGUUAAUGGCUUUGUCAUUUAUCUAUAAUCAAGAUAGCAACACAAAGUUCUUUACAAUAUAUCUUCUAAGAAGGAAAAUACAGCUAUCGUAGCAUCAAAACGUUGAGACAGGAAGUGUCCAGGAUGUAAUGAUAAUAAUCAAGCAUCAAGACAGGUUCAAAUUAACCUAGCCAGAUCACUUGGAUUUGACUUGGAAGGUCAACCAGAUCAUGGAUUGAUUUUCUGGCUGCUUGGAUUUAAUAUUAUUAAUAUUCAAAAUGAUUUUGAGCCGGACUCUGAAUUAUCGAGUCAUUGGGUUUGAUCUGCUGAAUGAAUGGUUGCUCCUUACUUCCGAUUCUGGGUUAAAAGGAAAAGAAAGUCUUUUCCUUAGCAGUAAAGAAUACAAAAAGAAAAAAAAUAAAAAAGAAUAGGCUAUGAUUUUUGGGAAUUCAAAAGGGAAUCUUACUAUGUAAACCAAUUUACAAUACUUUUAUCUUUUCUUAAUUAUUCUUCCAUUAUAUAUUUAAAAGCUCUGUGAUUUAUUAAAUAAAUUUCAAAAUGCGUUAGACUAUAAUUAUAUAAUCCAUGAUUUUAAAGUUUUAACUAGAGUUCACGCAAUUUAUUAUUUUGUUUUUAUUACUGAUACGAAAUUAUAUAAUACAUGAUGAUGACUUGUCUAGCUCCUGGCUAGUCAAAAAAAGACCACCGAAAUCAAAGGAGCAAUCAUCUCUACUAGCUGCCACCAAUUUCAAAGAUUGGUAACCAAAUAUAUAUAUAUACAUCAGAUUGGUGCCCCGCACCAAGCAAUGUUCUUAAAAACAUAAAAAAGAUAUGAGACAUGGAUCAUUCAUUUUAUGGGGUUUAAUAAGAUAAUUAAUUUAAUAACAUGAUAAAAAAAUAUUGAUCAUAAAUAAAAUGAUUUCUAACAUAAUUAAUUAUAAGAAAUAAGUUAGUUAUAUCAUACUUGAAAGUAAAAGAAAAAAAUAAAUUAGCGACUUCUACCUAUACAAAGACAAGUGCAAUACAUUCAUCAUUUAUCUUUUUUUUAUUAACAUUAAUAUUUAUUUAGUUACAAAAGCACCCCAUCUUCAACUUGAAUAUAUAUAUAUAUAUAUAUAAAUAAGAUAAAAAAUAAAAAAAACCCUUGAACAUUAGCUAAAGAAUUUCUUAUUUUAAAUAUAACUAAGUCUUUUCACUAUAUUUUAAAAAAUAAUAAUUUAAACAGUCCCUUGAGGGAGACGGUUCAUUAAUUUUUGCUUUUAAUUAUAAGUUAGUAAUUUUACUAUAUAGAAAAUAUAAAAAUACUAGAUUAUCCUUCGUAGCUAAGUCAAAUAUUUUUUAUGAGAAAAAUAAAAUUAUUAUUUUACUGUUACAAUCAACUAUGCAAAAGAGCAUAAAGCUACGUUGAAACCACUUUCCGUUAGUUUUUUUCAAUAUUUCAAAAGCAAAGAUGAUAUCCAAUCAGGGGCACGUAGAAGCAAAAGGGGGCAACUGCCCCCUUAAUUGUUUUUAUAAAUAUUUUUUAUAUUAAAAUAUAAUAUAAUAAUAUGGUGAGGGGUUGAUACACGCAGUUAUUAUUGUUGACUUAUUUUUUAAUAUAAUAAAUAAUAUAUAUAAUAUAUGUACAGCACCCCAUCUUAUUUCUCAUUUCCUUAAACUUUCCCCCUUUUUUUUUUUCUUUCCGCUAACUAUUCAAGAGCUUUUCUACUCUUUUUUUAACUGCUCUCUUUCUUAUACAAUUUUUUUUUUCUCAAAUCCAGUUAAACAACUUUAGGUAAAUUGUUUUCAUUUUUUUAUUUGUUUCAUUAUUUAAUUUUAUUUUUUAUAAUUAGUUAUUAAAAAUAUUAGGAUUUAUAAUAAUUUAAAGGCUUUGAUAUAUAUAAUAUUUUUAAUCAAUUAAAGAUAAAUAAUAGCUGACUAAACAAUAAGAUUUUAAACAAUAGGCAUUGAUUUAAUUGUUUUGAAUUAAUUAAAAGUUAUAUUAUUUUCAAUUGAAUUGUUUACGAUAUGGAACUAAACUGUUGUUGUUAGUAAAUAAAGAUUGUUGUUUGCAGAAUUAAAAUUAUUUUAGCUUGAGAUUGAUCCUUUUUAUGAUGUUAAUUUCCUUGUGCCUUCCUAUAAAAUAACUAGGACAUAUGAUUAAAUAAUUCAUAUUUUAUUUGAUUUUUUUCUUUUCGUUAGACAAUUUGUGUUUUGAUGGAGAAGAAUUAACACCUGCGUAUAACACUGAUUUUAAUCAGUGCAUGUUGUUUUUUUCUUAAAAAAAAAACAAUUUUUUUGUUUUUAAAAAUGAUUUGUCAUGAUAAAUUUAGACUAUCAAUCCUGAUCAAUAUCUAUGCAUUAUGUACAACAUGCUAUAUAAUAAUAGAAUAUAAAAUAAAUUUUGAUGAAUUAAUAUUUAUUUUAUUAUAAAUUUUAUAAAUAAAAUUUAUGAUUAUUAUGUAACUAAUUCAUGUAUUCAUGAUGUUACCUAAAUAUCAAGGAGUGAGUACAUACUCUCAGGACAAGAAGUAAAGAGAUACAUGUCUCCAGGAUGUUACCUAAAUAAACAAAUCUUAACCGAAGAAGAAAGAUAUAACAUUACCAUGAACCAGAAAUAUCUGCAUCCAAUCAGAGACAAGGAAAAUGAAAAAUCAUUCAUCCGAUUUCUCGAAGAACACAGCUUCACAUCCAUCACGUGUUAACAGAUUACAGCUUCCAUCCUAUGUGCCUCUCAGCAAAUGAAAACCCCACGAUAAAUGGAAGCAAACAGAGAAAAUUUACUGAACCUACUCUGCGUUGGAUCCUUGUUUUCUCCCUGACCUACUACACAACUUGGAAGGUGGGGAGGAAGAAAACUCAAAAGGUAGAGGCCACCACAUUCUGGUGCAACAUAACAUAGCGUGCCUCUCAUGCUUGUUGUACUGCUUAACUCGCGACUAAAAAGAUCUCCACUCCACAUAUCACUUCCAGUAGAUCGCGCAAUCUUUUUCCUCCACCCCCUUCUGAAACUGAACUCCCCAUUUUGAUCAGUAUCGUUUUGGUUCUGUUCUCCCAUUUUCUCUCGUCUAUGAAAUCUAAACCUGCGACCAAGAUCAAAAUGUGGAAUUCUAAACCCUCCUUUCCACUUUGUUUCAAGAUUCUUCAGCUUACUACCCUUCUGGUUUAUCCCAUCCAAGUGCUGCUCAUCCUUCCACCACUCUUGCAUCUUCCUAUUUUUCUUCCGAUGAUUUUUCCUGCCUUCAUGUUCCUUCUUCUCAAAUCCACUAACAUGAUUUUCAAACUUGAAUUCUUUUAAUCAAGGAGGUUCGUUUGCAUCGUCUAAUUUAUCUAAUGGGACCAUACGACUCAAUUCUUUUCUUCCAGGAGCACUUCUCUUCUCGUCAUCCCAAUCUAGAUUUGCUGAGGGGCAAUCUUGGCUCCCUAUCCACUCCAUGACAUAAUCUUUACUACACAAUUCACCACUCCCAUUAUAGCAUGUUCUGUUAUUUUUUGACGAAGAAGAAGCUUGUAAAGCAAGAGCAAAAUCUACCUCGUGACAACUCUCCACAGGAGUACCAUUUGCUGGUGUCUCUGAAGUCACAUUCCCAGAAAGCUCUUGACUCUUCCAUAGCUCUUGACUAAACAAAUCCACUCCAAAAUCCCCCUCCCCUUUAAUCCUUGAUAACCCAAAAUCUGAAAUCUUUGCUCUCAAAUCAAAAUCAAGCAAAACGUUGCUUGGUUUAAUAUCCCCAUGAAUCACAGGUGGGUCACAUCCACGGUGCAGAAACUCAAGUGCUUUUGCAACAUCAAGAAUGAUACUAAUCCUUCUCUCCCAGCAAAUACUCAAAUGACCAUCCCCAAAUAACAAUUCUUGCAAGCUUUUAUUUGGCACAUUCUCGUAAACAAGUAAGCGUUUAUUCUUUUCAACACAGUACCCCAAAAGAAUAACCAAGAAAGGUGAUCUUAAGCCACCAAGAAUCUGCAACUCAUUCUGAAACUCUCUCUCUGAUUGCAAGGAAAGAGUAUCAAGCCUCUUAAUAGCAUAUAACUUGCCAUCUCUUGCAAUGCCUCUAAAGACGGUAGCAGUAGCUCCUUUGCCAAUAAUAUUUGCAUCAUCAAAAUCAUCAGUGGCAAUCUUUAGCUCUUUGUAUGAAAACCUUUGGAGCCUUAAAGGAGCACUAGAGUCAAAAGGGAUGGUUCUUGAACGAUUCAAAAGUGUGCACCAAAGAUGGUAAAGAAAGUAAACAAUUGCAAAGAUUAGCACCACAGAGGCUGAGAUUGUGAGUGUCAAAAACAAGAUUCUGGUUUUGGUUAAGAAACCGGGUCUAGGAUGGUCAGAACUUGGAGAUAUGGGUCUUGAAGGCAUGGUCUGGUGGUUUGAAAUUCUGGGUUUCUAGUGUUAAUUAGCUAGCUAGUUUGGUCUCAAGAUUUGGUGAAGAAAGAAAACGUGUCGAUGGGAUGCUCGUUUCUUUUUCUUCUUGGGGUGGGGGUGUUUAGUUUUUAUUUGCACUUCUUGUUGCAAUCUGUAUCCAAUCUUAUAAGUUGCUUUACAGUAGGAUAAUCAAAGUGAAAUGAUAAUGUUGUUUACAAUAAUAGUCAAUGACAUUGAUAAUAGAUUCUUAAUUUUUAAUUCUAGUGAUACUGUUAUUCGCUGAUCAUUUUCUUUUUUAAAAAAUAAGUGAUUAGGAGACGAACCAUCAAUUAGAAAAAGAUGGUGGCGCAGGGAGGGUCCCAAGAUGCUUUUGACUAAAGAGGAAGUUUGAGAAGACAAAGUCCGAAGCAGCACGGAUAAGAUAAAGAAAAUGGAGGGAACAUGGAUUACAGUGCAGCAGAAAGUAAUUCUUGUCUUAAGCACUGUAAGGAGGCGCGUGGUGUUUAUGGUCUUGGACUUUGGAUCUGGGUGGUUGAGAUGCCAAAAGUGGAAGAGAUAGUGGAGUACAGAUGCUUUGCUUGCUACUAAUGGGGUUUUGGGUUGAUCCUCCGAGAAAGAACAUCGAUGCUUAGCCAAACUGAACUGCCACUUUCAAACUUGAAAUUAAUGCAAGAAUCUGGAUAGUUCAUGGGAGAUAAAGUGUACUUCUGUCCAAUCUAGUUUUUGGCAAAUCACUGAUUCCAUCACGAAGAAUUUAUUCCGUAUAUUGUCUAGUUGUGUCAGAAAGAAGAAGCAAGGGCCAUGUUGCUAAAUUGUAAUCCAGGGCAACUAGCUAGUAAUUCAGAAGAAUUAUAGGCUUGAUCUACUUGUGAUAAUUUAUUUUUCUUAAUCUCUAAUAAUAAAGAUCUUAUGUGUUGUUCAGAUUAGAUCCUUUAAAUGUUUUAUUGGUGGAUCUAGAUUUCUAUCUAAAUCUCUGUGUUUAUGGAUUUUUGGUUUUCCUUUCCUCCCACUAAAAGUUUAGCCUCUCUCUUUUGUUUAGUUUUGUUUUUUUUUUGUUUUUUUAUUUUGAAGUUUGCUUCCUUUAUUGUUGAGCUGUCCUCUCUUCUAAAUAAGGUCAUGGUGUUUGUAGCUUAUUGAUUGAAAGAUAUUGACAUCGACUAGUAGAUGAGUAGUAGAUGAGGAUCGUUCAUCAAUAGAGUUUAGUAAUGCAUUCAGUUCUUUGUUGAUUCAUGGCAAACCUAUCUAUUAGUAUAUAUUAGUAUAUGAUGUUUGUGUAGUUUGUAAAUGAAUAAAAAAAUAAUUAUUAUUAUCCAUGUAAAAAAAAAGCAUUUUUUCUUAAGUGUUUAUAAAUAUAGAUUUUUAUUGUAUAUUAAAUUAAGUAAAGACAUGGUGAAUAGGCUCUUCUAAUAUAUAAUAUUAAGAUUAAUUAGUUUUUAAAUUAAUUUAUUUAUUUUUUAUAAUUAAUUUUGAUAUUUAUGAUUGUUGAGAUUAAUCUGAAUAACAAUUAUUCAGUUUAAUCUAAAAUAUGAUUAUUUCAUUAACAAUCAUAAUUAUAGCAUGAAAUUAAAUUAUUUCAUUCCUUACCUUAACAACACUCUCACCCAACAUAUUGGCAUUAUCAUUCAAAGAAUUCAAGUUCAAAGUUUUAACAUUAUAGCAUGUUCUGUUAUUUUUUGACGAAGAAGAAGCUUGUAAAGCAAGAGCAAAAUCUACCUCGUGACAACUCUCCACAGGGGUAACAUUUGCUGGUGUCUCUGAAGUCACAUUCCCAGCAAGCUCUUGACUCUUCCAUAGCUCUUGACUCUUUCCCAAAUCUUGACUAAACAAAUCCACUCCAAAAUCCCCCCUCCCCUUUAAUCCUUGAUAACCCAAAAUCUGAAAUCUUUGCUCUCAAAUCAAAAUCAAGCAAAACGUUGCUUGGUUUAAUAUCCCCAUGAAUCACAGGUGGGUCACAUCCACGGUGCAGAAACUCAAGUGCUUUUGCAACAUCAAGAAUGAUACUAAUCCUUCUCUCCCAGCAAAUACUCAAAUGACCAUCCCCAAAUAACAAUUCUUGCAAGCUUUUAUUUGGCACAUACUCGUAAACAAGUAAGCGUUUAUUCUUUUCAACACAGUACCCCAAAAGAAUAACCAAGAAAGGUGAUCUUAAACCACCAAGAAUCUGCAACUCAUUCUGAAACUCUCUCUCUGAUUGCAAGGAAAGAGUAUUGUUUAACUGCCUUAGAAAGCUGCAGAAGACCAGGAAGUUGAGCUGCUGCAUGUUGAUCAAAUCUAGUCAAUAAGGAUCUCUGCUGAAGACCAAGAUUCUAGGAAUAAAUAACUGAUCAUAUCUGAUCAGUAGUUAUGCAUUUGAAUUUUGAAUUGUUUUUAUUUCCAUGUAAAACUCUAACUCUAUUUAAAGAGUAUUUAAUGAUCAAUGAAAGAAAUCUUCUUCUACAAAUUCUAUUCUGCUGUUGAGUUGCACUAACGAUUGUCCUGCAACUAAAGAAUAUAACCAACAAAUUGGUAUCAGAGCAAUAUAUCUUUCUUGAGGGACUUGUGAGUUGAGAGAAACAAAAACACAAAACCAAAUCAAACCACAAACACAACCAAAAAACACAAAAUGGAUUCUGAAACAAUUAUCUCGCAUGGCUCACCGCCAAUGUUCAAUGGUGAAAACUAUGAAACAUGGGCCAUCAGAAUGACAGUGCCUCUGGAGGCGCUAGAUCUCUGGGAAGCUGUGGAAGAAAACUAUGUUGUUCCUAACUUGCCUGCAAAUCCAACAAUAGCUCAGCUAAAGAUUAACAAGGAGAAGAAGACAAGAAAAUCCAAGGCCAAAGCUUGCUUAUAUGCUGCUGUAUCGAAUACAGUAUUCACAAGAAUCAUGAAUGUGGAUUCGGCAAAAGGUAUUUGGGAUUAUCUUAAAAAGGAAUAUCAAGGAAAUGAAAGAACCAAAAAUAUGCAGGUUCUUAAUUUAAUUAGAGAGUUUGAAAUGCAAAAGAUGAAGGAAACUGAAAACAUCAAAGAUUAUGCUGACAGAUUGCUAAGCAUAAUAAACAAAGUAAGAUUGCUUGGAAAAGAAUUUUCUGAUGAUAGAAUUGUGCAGAAAAUACUGGUUACUAUGCCAGAAAAAUAUGAGUCUAAGAUCUCUUCAUUAGAAGAGUCUAAAGACUUAACCAGCAUCUCUCUUGGAGAGUUGACAAAUGCAUUGCAGGCACAAGAACAGAGAAGAUCAAUGAGACUUGAAGAAUCAGUGCAGGGAGCUUUUCAAGCAAGAACUCAAUAUCAAGGAGGAAGCAGAAACAAGAGAUUCAUCAAGAAGAACAAAUUUCAAACUUACAGAAACAAGGUGGAAACAUUUCCACCAUGUACCUACUGUAAAAAGACAAAUCAUCAGCCGAUCAAAUGCUGGUGGAGACCAGAUAUCAAAUGCAGAAAGUGUGGGCAGACUGGACAUGUUGAACGAAUCUGCAGGACACAACAUCUUGAAGAAAAGGCAAAUCCUGUUGCACAACAAUCUGAAGAGGAGCAGCUGUUUGUUGCAUCAUGUUUUUCAACAGGAAAUAGUUCGAAUGAUUCCUGGUUGAUUGAUAGUGGCUGCACAAACCACAUGACAAACAAUCAGGAUUUGUUCAAAGAGCUUGACAGAACAGCUAUUUCCAAAGUUAAAAUUGGAAAUGGUGAUCACAUUGAUGUCAGAGGCAAAGGAACUGUUGUUCUAAAUAGUCUGUCAGGUUUGAAGUAUAUUUCAGAUGUUUUAUAUGUGCCUGACAUUGAUCAAAACUUGCUUAGUGUUGGACAGCUCAUUGAGAAAGGAUUCAAAGUAAUGUUUGAAGAUCAAUGGUGUCUGAUCAAAGACAGCUUGGGCAACAAUGUGUUCAGGGUAAAAAUGAAAUCAAAAGGUUUUAUUUUAAACCUUAUGGAGAAGGAGCAGAGUGUGUUUUCUGCAAGAAUAUGCAGUGAUGAACUAUGGCAUAAAAGGGUUGGACACUUUCAUCAUGCAGGGCUUAUCUACAUGCAAACUCAUACUCUUGUAAAAGGAGUACCACAACUGGAGAAUGAAUCAAUAAACUGUGCAGCAUGUCAAUAUGGAAAGCAGGCCAGAAAACCUUUUCCUCAUGCAACCUGGAGAGCAACACGAAAACUUCAGCUGAUACAUACAGAUGUUGGAGGUCCUCUGAGUACAGCUUCACUGAAUGGCAGCAAAUAUUAUAUCAUCUUCAUUGAUGAUUAUUCCAGGUUCUGUUGGAUUUACUUUCUUAAAUUCAAGUCAGAAGUUGCUAAUGUAUUCUGGAAAUAUAAAACAUGGGUAGAGAAUCAAAGUGGGUGCAGGAUUCAAACAUUAAGAUCAGACAAUGGAAAGGAGUAUACCUGUGGAAGAUUCCAACAAUUCUGUGAUGAAUCCGGAAUUGAACAUCAGCUUACUGCACCUUACACACCUCAACAGAAUGGUGUGAGUGAAAGAAAAAACAGGAGUAUCAUGGAAAUGGCCAGAUGUAUGCUGCACGAAAAAGAAUUGCCAAAGAAAUUGUGGGCUGAAGCUGCAAAUACCUCAGUAUAUCUGCUGAACAGAAUGCCAACCAGAGCUUUGCAGAAAAAAACUCCUUUUGAAGCUUGGUUUGGAUACAAACCAGACCUGCAACAUUUGAAAAUUUUUGGUUGUAUUUGUUUCAGUCAUGUACCACAGGUGAAAAGAGAUAAGCUGGACAAGAAGUCAGAACCAGGAGUCUUCAUUGGAUACAGCAGUCCAUCAAAAGCUUACAGAAUUUUCCAACCUCAAAAUGGAAAAAUUCUGGUAAGUAGAGAUGUCAAUUUUAUGGAAGAUAAGCAAUGGAAGUGGGAGCAACCAGAAGAACAGCUGGGAUCAUCAACAGAGCAGCAAGAAUCUCCAGUCUUGGAGAUUGUUGAUGACAACAUUGAUGAUGAACCAGUAAGAGGUACAAGAACAUUAACUGAAAUUUAUGAAAGAAGCAAUAUUGCUAUCUAUGAACCUGCAGAAUUUGAAGAAGCAGUAAAGAAGAAUGAAUGGAAUGCUGCAAUGCAAGAAGAGCUUAGAAUGAUUGAAAAGAAUGAUACCUGGGUGCUGAUGGACAAGCCUUUGCACAAGAAGGCCAUAGGAGUAAAAUGGGUUUAUAGAACCAAACAAAAUGCAGAUGGUUCUAUAAACAAAUACAAAGCCAGAUUAGUUGUGAAGGGUUAUGCUCAAGUGUUCGGUGUGGAUUUUUCAGAAACCUUUGCACCAGUAGCACGCUUGGACACAAUCAGAUUGCUACUUGCAGUUGCUGCACAAAAGAAUUGGAAGGUUUAUCAGCUGGAUGUAAAGUCUGCGUUUUUAAAUGGAUAUCUGCAGGAGGAGAUUUACAUAGAGCAACCAAGAGGCUUUGAAGUCAGGGGACAAGAGGAGAAGGUUUACCUGCUGAAAAAGGCUUUGUAUGGCCUCAAACAAGCUCCUAGAGCAUGGUAUAGCAGAAUUGAUGAUCAUCUACACAAACUUGGCUUUGUUAAAAGUUUAAGUGAGGCAACUUUGUAUGUAAAAGGAGCUGAUGCAAACUUAAUUAUUGUAUCUGUUUAUGUUGAUGACUUACUUGUAACAGGGAGUAAUAAGACACAAAUUGAAGCAUUCAAGGCUGAGAUGCUUGAUGUAUUUGAGAUGACAGAUCUCGGGUUGAUGUCUUACUUCCUUGGAAUGGAGGUGAAACAAAGUGAUGAUGGAAUCUUCAUAUGUCAACAGAAAUAUGCUAAAGAGAUACUGAAGAAGUUUCGCAUGGAGAGCUGCAAGAGCACAAGCACACCUAUGAAUUUGAAAGAAAAAUUCAGCAAGAAUGAUGGAACAAACAAAGCAGAUGAAGGUCAGUACAGGAGUUUGAUUGGAUGUUUAAUGUAUCUAACAGCUACAAGAUCAGACAUUACAUUUGUGUGAGCUUGCUGUCACGUUUUAUGCAUUGUGCAUCUGAAAUGCAUCUACAAGCUGCAAAAAGGAUACUAAGAUACAUUAAAGGUACAUUAAGCUAUGGAAUAAAGUAUUCUCAUCUUCAGAAACUUAUGCUGCAUGGAUACUCUGAUAGUGACUGGGCAGGUUCUGUAGACGACAUGAAGAGCACUUCAGGUUACUGUUUCAGCUUUGGAUCAGGUAUGUUUUCUUGGUGUUCAAAGAAGCAAGAAAAUGUAGCUCAAAGCACAGCUGAAGCUGAAUAUGCAGCAGCUACUGCUGCUGUCAAUCAAGCUAUUUGGAUAAGGAAAAUUCUUGCUGAUCUGCAUAUGAAUCAACUGGAACCAACAAAGAUUUAUGUUGACAAUCAAGCUGCAAUAUCUAUUGCAAACAAUCCAGUGUUUUAUGGCAGAACUAAGCAUUUUAAAAUUAAGUUGUAUUUCCUAAGAGAAGCUCAGAAGGAAGAAGAAGUUACUCUGCUGUAUUGCAGAACUAAUGAUCAGAUUGCAGAUGUUCUAACAAAAGCACUUCCAAAAGCAAGUUUUGAAGAUUUACGAGGAAAGCUUGGUAUCUGCUGCUGUUAAGACAAAGAUGAGUAUUGUUUAACUGUCUUAGAAAGCUGUAGAAGACCAGGAAGCUGAGCUGUUGCAUGUUGAUCAAAUCUAGUCAAUAAAGAUCUCUGCUGAAGACCAAGAUUCUAGGAAUAAAUAACUGAUCAUAUCUGAUCAGUAGUUAUGCAUUUGAAUUUUGAAUUGUUUUUGUUUUCAUGUAAAACUCUAACUCUAUUUAAAAAGUAUUCAAUGAUCAAUGAAAGAAAUCUUCUUCUACAAAUUCUAUUCUGCUGUUGAGUUGCACUAACGAUUGUCCUGCAACUAAAGAAUAUAACCAACAAAGAGUAUCAAGCCUCUUAAUAGCAUAUAACUUGCCAUCUCUUGCAAUGCCUCUAAAGACAGUAGCAGUACCUCCUUUGCCAAUAAUAUUUGCAUCAUCAAAAUCAUCAGUGGCAAUCUUUAGCUCUUUGUAUGAAAAUCUUUGGAGCCUUAAAGGAGCACUAGAGUCAAAAGGGAUGGUUCUUGAACGAUUCAAAAGUGUGCACCAAAGACGGUAAAGAAAGUAAACAAUUGCAAAGAUUAGCACCACAGAGGCUGAGAUUGUGAGUGUCAAAAACAAGAUUCUGGUUUUGGUUAAGAAACCGGGUCUAGGAUGGUCAGAACUUGGAGAUAUGGGUCUUGAAGGCAUGGUCUGGUGGUUUGAAAUUCUGGGUUUCUAGUGUUAAUUAGCUAGCUAGUUUGGUCUCAAGAUUUGGUGAAGAAAGAAAACGUGUCGAUGGGAUACUCGUUUCCUUUUCUUCUUGCGGUGGGGGUGUUUAGUUUUUAUUUGCACUUAUUGUUGCAAUCUGUAUCCAAUGUUAUAAGUUGCUUUACAGUAGGAUAAUCAAAGUGAAAUGAUAAUGUUGUUUACAAUAAUAGUCAAAUCAAGAUGAUUCAAAGCAGGAAGACGAGAAAGCCAGCUAAGACUUUGAACUUUGUGAAAAUAAUUGAGGCUGAGAUCAAGAAAAACCAACCUGGUAAGAUUCCCUAGCUGAUGAGGAAUAGUUCCGGUAAGACCACAAAAGGACAUAUUGAGAUGCAUCAAGUGUUUUAAUGAACCAAUGAAUUUGGGGAUGGAGGUUGCACUAACCGUACUCAUAUCCAAGUAUGCCAAGUGUUUCAGCUCAAGCAAGGGAGAGCUUAUAUCCCCUUUGAAUUGCAUGGAAUAGUGUAUUUCCCCGGCAGAAUCAUAAAACGGGAAUAUUUCCUGCGGAUUAAGCUGAAGUGCAUAAACAUGACCGGUUCUGUUGUUGCACCGAACUCCUGUCCAAUCGCAGCAAUCAUCACGAGUCCCCCAUGAAGAAAGCUGAUCGUUCUCAUCCACGAGGUCAUCUUUCAACUUAAGUAGUGCUUGUUUCUCCCUUUCCAUGCACAUGACUUUAACGCCUACCAAACUGGAAUUGGUUUUGUAUGCAUUUGUCGUCAUGAUACACACAGUGAGCCAAGAAAGAAAGACAAGAAAUGUAAGGUGUGUCCCAGCCAUAGUUUGAUUGAUCAGUGAGUGUUCUGAAUCAAGAUGAAAGAUCAAACUACCUCAUUGAGGUUAAUUAAGUAGUAAAUGCUUUAGCUUGUGGAAAACUGUUACUAGUCAAUAGUCGUCAGUGACAAUUGCAAAGAAAUUCCACUCAAACUUGUAAAGAUCAAGACUCGUCACUGCUCAACAACCAAGGUGAUCAUAAUGCUUUAACUUCCACUCAAACUUAUAAAAUGAAGAUAAAAGGACUGCCCUUUUAAUGUUUGGUAUUGCGGUAGCUUUUGUGGUUGUGGUUUGAAAAAAUUUAUUUUAUAAAAAGUACUUUUAGUUGAGGUUGGUUUGAAAAAAUAGGUGUUUGGUUAAAACUGUGGUUGAAAUUGAGGUUGAAGGAAAAGUAGUUUAAUGUGUUUGGUUAAAAAACUGCUUUUCAAAUUGAGGUUAUAAAAUAAUUAAAAUAUAUAUAUAUAUAUUAAUACUAAUGAUUUUUAAUUUAAAUAUUGUAAAUUUAAUUACUAUUAUUACAUCAUAAAAUAAAUAAUAUUGAUAUCAAAUUUUUUUUAUUAUUCCAUUAAACUAUGUGCAAUGUCAUCACAUACGAAAUAUAUCCAAUAAGAACUAUAUUUUUCAUGGUUUCUUAAGCGCACAACAACAAAAACUGAAUCUUUUGUUACGUUAUCAAGCGAUUUCCUUUUAAUUUUUUAAAUAGAACACAAUUAAAAUAAAAAUAAAAACUGAAUUUUUUUUUACUGGGCCGGACCCGACAAUAACGUAAUUGCGAUCAAAUUUCACAAAUGCUACGUCAUUACGCGAUAUCCUUCUAAUUUAUGUAGUGUUAUUAAAUUAUAUUAAGUGCUAGUUUUCAGGAAUAAAAUUGAGAUUAAAGUACGAAUAAAUUUAAUUUACCUUAAACUAAUUUUUUUUUUUAAAAAAAUAUAUAUAUAUAUAUAUAUAUAUUCACAUGAACAAUACGAGUGCAAUUAAUUAAAUAUACUAGUUUUUCAGGAAAAAAAAAAUUUGUUUAAGAGUUUUUCAAAAAAAUAACUGUUCAUGUGAACAGUACGAGUGAAUUAAUUCACUCGCACUGUUCACUUAGUGAAUAGUGUGCAGUGGAGCCAUGCUCCGCUGUUAACAACGGGUCAGCAACAUGAGAAGCAGCAUUUUGUUGCAGUGACGGAUAAGAUAAAGAAAAUGAAGGGAACAUGGAUUACAGUGACAGUAGAGAGUAAUUCUUUGUCUUAAGCACUGUAUGGAGGCGCGUGGUGUUUAUGGUCUUGGACUUUGGAUCUUGGUGGUUGAGAUGCCAAAAGUGGAAGAGAUAGUGGAGUACAGAUGCUUUGCUUGCUACUAAUGGGGUUUUGGGUUGAUUCUCCGAGAGAGGAUAUCGAUGCUUAGCCAAACUGAACCGCCACUUUCAAACUUGAAAUUAAUGCAAGAAUCUGGAUAGUGUUCAUGGGAGAUAAAGUGUACUUCUGUCCAAUCUAGUUUUUGGCGAAUCACUGAUUCCAUCACGAACUGAAUUUAUUCCGUAUAUUUGUCUAGUUCAGUGUCAGUAAGAAGAAGCAAGGGGCCAUGUUGCUAAAUUGUAAUCCAGGGCAACUAGCUAGUAAUUCAGAAGAAUUAUAGGCUUGAUCUACUUGUGAUAAUUUAUUUUUCUUAAUCUUUAAUAAUAAAGAUCUUAUGUGUUAUUCAGAUUAGAUCCUUUAAAUGUUUUAUUGGUGGAUCUAGAUUUCUAUCUAAAUCUAUGUGUUUAUGGAUUUUUGGUUUUCCUUCCCUCCUAAAAGUUUGGCCUCUCCUUUUUUUGUGUUUUUAAUUUGAAGUUUGCUUUCUUUAUUGUUGGGCUGUCCUCUCUUCUAAAUAAGGUCAUGGUGUUUGUAGCUUAUUGAUUGAAAGAUAUUGAUAUUGACAAGUAGAUAAGGAUAGUUCAUCAACAGAGUUUAGUAAUGCGAUAUUCGUUGAUUCAUGGUAAACCCAUCUAUAUAUCAUACGAUUAGAAAAAUAUUAACAAGAUGACUUCAAAGGUAUAACAAAAAGCCACUAACAAUAAUGAAAUGGAUCACAUAAAUAGCCCAAAAAUAAAUGAGUUUUAACACCUUUAUAUAACUCGUGUGACUCACUAUGUUCAUUGUUUUUUUUAACUUAUUUGGUGUCGUCGGACUCGUCUUAUUGAGAUCUUUCAAAUGAUACUAAUUAUAUUGUCAUCAAAGUUUUGGUGUACCUCCAGGGUGUUUUUUCUUUGUUUUCUAUUUCUCCUCUUUGUAAUUUGUGAAGAGAAAGGAAAGAGAAAAGUGAAAAAUAAAAAAUAAAAAAUAAAAAGACGAUGCUAUAAGUGUUGGUAUAGUUUGUAAAUGAAUAAAAAAGAAAAAGAUGUCUAUCCCACAUUAAAAAAAACAUUCCCUUUUAAUUGUUUAUAAGUGUGAGUUUCUAUUGUGUAGUAAUAAUAUAAAAAGAUUAAUUUUUUUUUAUUUUGUUUUUAAUUUUCAUAAUUAAUUUUGAUAUUUUUGACUGUUGAGAUAAAACUAAAUAGCAGCUAUUCAGUUUAAUUUAAAAUAUAAUUGUUUAAUUAACAAUUAUAUAAUUUCAUUAAUAGUCAUAUUAUUAAAAGACAUAGUGUUUUAUUAUAAUGUUUCAAGUCUAAUAAAACCUGUUAUUACACAGAAAAAAAAAAUGUAUGAAAAAAAAUGUAUUUUCUUUCUAUCCUUUUUUCUUAUUUUUUUAGAGAUUUAAAGGGUUUAAUUAUGUCUUAAAGGUAUUUAUAUGAAACAAUUAAUGUCUGGAUAAAAACCACAGAGCCAAGUGAGGCAGGUAUCCUCCCUGAAAAAUUAUUGCUAGCCAAAUUAAGGAUGUUCAGUUCCUUACACGUCAUCCAACAGUCAGGUAUUUCUCCUGAGAGACAAUUGUCAGAAAGGUCAAGAUAAACUAAUAUCUCACAAGCAAUUGAACAAAGGUUGGAUAUAGUUCCUGAAAACAAGUUUUUGGAAAGGUUCAAUAUUGUUGCAUUAGGUGGAAGUGGUAAGGAACCGUGCAAGUAGUUGGAACUCAUAUCGACCGUAGCAGAAUCUCGUACGAGUGAUGGUAAUUUAUGCGCUUCACCAGUGAUUUGAUUGUGAGAGAUGUUCAAAUAAUUCAAUUUGAAAUGAAGUUUCCCAAACCAACUGUUAAUGUCAUUUGCAAUUCCAGCAUUGGAGAUGUCCAGGUAGGAAAUUCUUCUCUGCGUUCGUAGCCAUUGAGGAAAACUAGGCCCCAGCUUGCAAGAUCUCAUGAAUAAGGUAUCAAGUUGGAAAGGAGGAGUCCAGUUUAAGCUCAAGUUAACAGCAAGUGCAUUUGAAGAAAUAUCCAAGUAAGUUAACUUGGUCAGGUUCAAAAAGCUAAUCUCUGAGAUUGUUCCAUUCAUGAAAUUUGAGGAGAUGUCCAAGUAGGUUAAUUUGGUCAGGUUCAAAAAGCUAAUCUCUGAGAUUGUUCCAUUUAUGAAAUUUGAGGAGAUGUCCAAGUAAGUAAGAUCAGAAAGUAGCUGGAUAUUUUCGGUCCAACUCCCAUUUAAUUUAUUAUGGGAAAGAUAUAACAUACUUAUGAAAGAAAGAUUCUUCAUAUCAGGCACCUCUCCUACCAAACUGUUCCAAGACAAAUCCAAUGAUUCCAAUCUACCAAGAUUCCCCAAGGCUCUUGGUAUUUCACCUUCAAAUUGAUUCCAAGAAAGAUCAAGACUUUCAAGAUUAAUCAUGGUCCCCAAAGCUUUUGGGAUUUUUCCUUGAAAAUAAUUGUAGCUGAGAUCAAGAAAAACCAACCUGGUAAGAUUCCCUAGCUGAUGAGGAAUAGUUCCGUUAAGAUCACAAGCGGACAUAUCGAGAUGCAUCAAGUGUUUUAAUGAACCAAUGAAUUGGGGGAUGGAGGUUGCACUAACCGUUCUCAUAUCCAAGUAUGCCAAGUGUUUCAGCUCAAGCAAGGGAGAGCUUAUAUCGCCUUUGAAUUGCAUGGAAAAGUCUGCCUGUUGAUUAAGCUGAAGUGAAUAAACAUGACCGGUUCUGUUGUUGCACCGAACUCCUGUCCAAUCGCAGCAAUCAUCACCAGUCCCCCAUGAAGAAAGGUGAUCGUUCUCAUCCACGAGGUCAUCUUUCAACUUAAGUAGUGCUUGUUUCUCCCUUUCCAUGCACAUGGCUUUAACGCCUACCAAACUGGAAUUGGUUUUGUAUGCAUUUGUCGUCAUGAUACACACAGUGAGCCAAGAAAGAAAGACAAGAAAUGUAAGGUGUGUCCCAGCCAUAGUUUGAGUGAUCAGUGAGUGUUCUGAAUCAAGAUGAAAG
rnacentral:lncRNA from 1 species